GAGAGAGAGAGAGAGAGAAAAGAAAAUAAUAAAGAACGUGAGAGGGAGAAGUCACAACUGAGAGUGAUUUAAAUGAAAUGGAUAAGAAUAUAUAAUUGUUGGUAUAAAAGGCCUACUGGGGUCCCUCUAAUGAAUGGUGAUGAGUCAGCAAUCGGAUUGGAUUGAAAAAUGGAUAAAAGCUGAGCUGGAGUCUUUGUCUCCUCACCGGUCAUCACGCCUUCACUUUAUUUUGCUCACCCCUUUCUUUCCUAUCAAAUAUAUAACCAAUUCAGUUAUUACUAACCUAAGUUCCUCAAUUUUUACCAAUUUCACUCCUUCCAUCAAAUAUUUUACAUAAUAAAUCUACUUUUUUUUGUUUAAUUUUAGUUGAAUCAUCUCUAACCUGUACAUGAAUCAAAUCCAUAAAUAUACAUAUUUUGUUUGAAAUCGUUAGAUUUGAAUACGUUAAUUUUCUCAUUCCGCUAAUAUUAAUAAUAAAAUACAGACAGAAAGAUAUGUAAAUUUAUAUAAUUAAAGGGUGGGUGGGGCCUUGGAUGGGGCAAUAGCUUAAAGCUUUUGUUAUUGUACUAAGAAAGUGACUUCUCUUCAAACCUUUCUUUACAUUCAAAAUAUCUUCUCCUUUUUCUUUUCUUAAAAAGAAUAAUAAUUGAAAAAGAACUUUAGUUUAAACUUAACAAUUUAGUGAUUAUAAUUUCAAGGAUAAAUUAUAAAUUUUAGUCUAGGUUUGCUUCUAUCAUUUUGUUUUCUAACUUUUAAAAUUACAAAUUUAAUCAUUUUUUUUAUAAAAUCAACCCAUCUACUCUAUCAAAAUGAAUUUGUUUUAGGUAUUAUUAGAUGUAAAUUUAAUUGUAAGUCUAAAUUAAAAAAAAAAACUUUUAAAUCUCAAUUCAUAAAAUAUCCCUUACACACGAAAUUGAAAGUUUGUGAAAUCACUAGACAAGAAAAUUAAAAUCGUAAAGAUCCAUCAAAUGUUUUUAAAAAUCUAAAUACCAAAUAUACUGAACUUAUAAUUUAAACCUCGUUAACUAAGUUUGUAAGAUUAAGAAUGAACACACAAGAUUUUGAAUUAGAUCUAUAACUUAGCAUACUAUCCAUAAAGGUCCUUUUUUGCCCAACAAGUUUGUGAUUGUGUACCCAAAACUUACUUUAUUUUAUUUUAUUAAUAAAAGUACACAUCAAAUAAUUACACAUAUUAUGGAAACAAAUCUGCCUCAACUAAUAGACAAAGUUAAUUAGGAAAUGAGUUUCUAAGUUACAACCUCCUCCACUUCCCAUUAUGCUAUACCAUCAGGUUUCCAUUCGAUUCUUUUAUUUUAAAUAUUAAUAAUUUUAUUCUCUAAAUCAUUUUUUAAAAUGGAGAUAAUUUGAUUUUUUUUCUAAAUUUUAAUGAUUUGCUAAAAUGAAUAUAAUUUGAUUUUUAGAAGGAAUUUAAUUUUUUUUAAAAGGACAAAAAUCAAAAUCAAACCCUACUUUAUUUCUUAGCCCUCAUUUGUUAUCUAACCAAUAUUUUUUAAAAAAAUGCAACAUAGUCAAUGGUCUAAACUUUAACAAUAAAAAUUUUGGAAAUGAAAUUAUUAUCAUGGUCACUUUUUUUAGGAUUACAAAAAGAGUAAAGUUGAUCCCUCUGUUAUCGACCUUUUUAUGGUUUCAUGCGAUUAUAGUUAAACAUCCAUAAUUUAAGACUCUUCACUGAUUAGGUACCAUAGGGGAAAAAAUAUGUUUAGAUGAGUUUUUAUUCAUAAGUUUGUGACAUGUUAACAUGAAUAUUUAUAAAUAUGUCAAAGUUAAACAUCCCCUUCAAGUUUUUAACCUAUAUAGAAUAAUUGUGAUACAAAUAUAAAAAAAGUGAAAUUAAAACUAACGAAAUAGUUGUUUAGAUUUGUAGAAAUUACAUAAAUAUGAUAUAAUUUUGGUUUUGAGGAAUGCGUCGGCUAUUCUUCGUGGGCUGGGCUGGGCCUUAUAUUGUGACAAAGGUCAACAGGUCAUGACUAUGGGUUUGGAAUUCAGGCCCAAAAGCUCAAUACAUCGAAAGUAAGGAAUUCGUUACAAUCUGUCAGUCUUUUGUCAAGAAAAUUGUUGCCAUUUUUCCGUUAGUCAUUUAAGGUUCAUUCUGAUUUCAUAAAGUUUCAUUUUUUUUAAUCCAUUGUUCGUUUUUAUAGUUUCCGAGUUCAUAUUUUAAAAUGAAGUUUUGACAUCCUCCAUUGAUGUCAUGUAAAUUUGAUAAACAGUGACCAAAUGAGUUACUUUUUAAACCAACACUAGUUACAUUUUGAAAUGAAUAAUGAGUAUAGCUUAAAUGACGUAAAAUGUGUAUAAUUACUAUCUUGUUAAAUCUUUCGUUUCCAUCUCACCAUGGUUGACAAAGGAAAAGUUCUUUUUUUCUUUUAAUAUUGGACCAAUAUAGAUAUUUUAUAACUACAAGUACUAAAUUAAACUUUUAAAAGUACCCAUAUUGGUUUAACAUAAUUCUUAUAGUUUGGAAAAAUUAAAAUUGAGUAUAGUAUAACAAAACCAUUGGUCGACAAAAUUUAUGUGAGACAUUAGAGGAAGUAAAUUGGUUAUUCUUGGAGUAAUUAUAAUUGAUGACCAUUUUAUGAAUAAUAAUUAAAGAUAUAGCAACAUUUUAAAAAUAUUAUAAAUAUAGCAAAAAUAUCGCUGAUAAACUUGUAUCGCCGAUAGAUUUGUAUGAUCUAUCAAUGAUAGACCGAUAUUUACAACAUGGCCUAUCGGUGAUAGAGUUUUAUCAUUGAUAGAAUUUGACAAAUUUUGUUAUAUUUACAAUUUUUAAAAAAUGUUGCUAUAUGCUUAAUUAUUUUACCUCUAAUAGCUAAAUUUGCAACUAUUCAUUAUUAUUAUAAUCUCAUGUUGUUGUAAUUGAGUUAAGAUAGUUUGUCUUUGGAGCGUAAAUUACUUUAGUUUGAACUGUAACAAUAUUUGUUGAGAUAUGAACUAUUUAAGUUCGAAAUUAAAAUUUUUCAAACAAUGUUGACUAUUUAACUAAUGGAAGUAUUUCCUCUAACCGUAGAUAGCUAUUAUAAUCUUAAAUAAUUCUUCUUUCAAACGUCGUGUAAGAUUUAGAUUAUAACUUUUUUUUCAAAUAAACAAAUUAUAAUUUAAUCUACAAAUAAAUUAGAAUUCGAACUUAAUUGAUAUGAUAUUUUAAUUUAGAGGUACCAAGUUGAAUUAUAGGGACAAAACCUGGAAAAAAUAUUAAGAAAAAAUGAAUUGAUUUUUUUUCAAAAAGAAAAAGAAAACAGAAUUCACAAUUACAUUAAUUUUGCUGAGUAACUUUAUAUGAUUAUGACGGAGUGAUGGAGACCAGGUCCAACGACUCCAGCUUUAAGGUGACGUAAAUAAAACGACAGCCCAAUUAAAUUCAAAUAGUCGGAAAUGCAACCAGUAAAAGAAUUACACGUGGAACAAACAAUAAUGUCGUUGAAGAAAAAGGUAAACUAGGAAAUCAGCCACCGUGGGAUCUGAAAACGAAUCCAAACCGUACAAAUCAAACGCCAGAGGAGAAUGACUUUGGUUAAUGAUAAUAGAUCGGGGAGUAUCCGAAUAUUUAUUGUCAUUCUUAUUCAUUCUUCUUCCCUCUCUCUCUCUAUGCUUUACAGAAAGGUAAAAGUACAAUUAUUUGCAAAAUGACACAUUUACCUCUUUACAUUUCUUUUAUAAAAAAUAUAGUCUAUUUUUCUGUCAAUUUUUCAUUUAAGUAAACUAGACCUCCCCCACUAAAUUUAUAGUUGUACAAUAGAGAGAGGUUUUAAAAUAUUUUAAUUAAUAAAAUUGUCUUUUGCCAUAUUUAACUCAAAUAGUUAUAACUAUUUUAAGAGAAAGAUACUUGUCCGACUGGUGUGUUCACAUCAGAUUGCAAUCCUUUAUAUCAAUUAUUUAAAUCAUACUCAUAUGUUAAAUAGUACGAUAAUCCGUUACAUAAUGCUUCAUAUGUAUGGUUUAAAUCUGUAAAAGGAUAUACCCCUAAAUGUCAAGAGUUGUAAUAGAAGCAAAGUGCAAUGCCAUUCAUUUGAAUAUAUUUUUUUACUUAGAUCGUGAUGCUUUACAUCCAUGGUUCAAAUUACAUCUAUACACCAUGAAUAAUAAUAAUACUCCUUAAUAUUAUUUCCUUUUCCUUUCACAAUAAAUAAAUAAAUACAUUUUUAACAAGCUUAACUUCAAUCUUCAAUCUAACAUCUAAAUAAUUUAAGAAUUUUAUGUACAUAUUGUUUCCUUACAGUCCAUUUUAUAUAUAGUAUAGUACAUACGAGUAAAUGAGCUGAAUUAUUAGCUAAAGACUAAAAAUAAAUAUAAAUUUGUGUUCCAGUUUUUAACUUGUUUCUUGAAAACCUUGGUAGAAAUAAAUAACAAAUGAUAAAUCUAGAGAUAGAAGAAGGGUUUAUUUGACCUAGUUUUCACUAGGGUUUAGUUAUUCAACUUUAUGUUAUAUUGUAUGCUUAAUGAAUUGCUGAAUUUCUUCCCUGUAAACAUAAACUAAGUAGUGGACUCUUGAUUAUUAUUGGUUGUAUUUUAUAUUGGACAUCGCUUAAGAUUUGUUUAUAUUAAUUUUAUUCUUUCAAUUUAAUUAUCCAAAAAUCAACAAAAUCAAAUAGAAUAUCAUCCCUAAUUUUAACUUUCAAUAUAUAAUCAAAUUCAAAUAAAUUAGUAUUAUACCAUUCAUCAAUCACCACUAAACUUCAAUUUAUUUAACUUUGGGUUAUUUUCAUUUAAUGUCAUUAAUUUUACAUGGUCCACUCUCAAUUAUAUCAUACAAAUUGAAAAUUUUAACUUUUAUUUUAGGCCUGGCUGCAUUUAUGGCACAAUAAAAAUUAAAUAUUGAGAAAUGACAAUUCAAAGAAACAAUGAUAGGCAUAUAUGUAUUUAGUGCCCUAUAGCUAAUAGACCUCAUAGAAAUCAUCAAAACAAACCAGAAAAAAAUUGAUUGAAACUUAGAAAAACAGGUCAAAUGUAAAAAUCCAAUAGCUAUAUCUAAUUAUUAACCUCCAAAUAUUUGAAAAUUUAACUUAGUUAAUUUGCUUUUGAUCUAAGUAAUUAUGCGUCAAUCAUCAACCAAGCCAAUACUUAAAUACAUUUCAGAUAAUACCUAUCUUCCUCCAUCAUUUUACCCAAUUUUACAAUCAUAGUUUAUCUUGAAAUCAUUCUUAUCUCUUUUUUGAAACUUUUGUAUACAAACGAACAAGGAAAAAUGCAUAAGAAGCAUCCAAAUAUUACCCUGUUUAUACGUUACAUUUAUCAUUGAUUUUUAAAGCUUAAAUUUAUUUAUUUGAUCAUUAUGUUUCUACUCUUAUUCUUAAAAAUUAUGUCAAGUUUUUUUAGAUUAAAAUUAAGAAAAUUAAAAUAUUUGUAGCCUUUUAAUCUUUGAAUUUUGAGUUUAAUUCAUAAAAUUUAAAAUAUCACAAUAUCAUUUUGAUAUUUGAGUUAUAUUUCAAUUUCAUUCAAAAAAAAAUUACAACAUUUUCAUUUAUAUUAUUUUGAAUUCUCACUAAAUAUUCACCAUAAAUAAAUUAAACAAUUAUGAAAUUUAAUUUUAAAACUAAUUCCAACAGAGAACAUAAUAAUAAUUUAUUUGAACAUUUAAAAUGAAUGAGUAAAUAUUAAACCUAACUAAAUGAAUAUUUAAUGAAAAACCAUAAUUUAAAUAACGUUUAAAGUAUAUCUAGAGGAUUAAAUGGAAACAAAAUUUAAUUUUUAAAUACAAUAAACUAUAACAUUUUGAAUCAAAUCAACUAAAUUGAAAUCAAAAUUAAAUUAAAACAAAAACUAAAGAAUAUAUUAUUUUAAACUGAGUGAAAAACAAAACUAAAAGUCCUGUACCAGAAAAAAAGAAAAAGAAAAAAAAAAAGGAAAGCUUUUUUCUUUGUUAUAAAUACCAAAAUGGAUGGGAACUACAGAAAUCGAUACAUUCGAUUUGAUAUAUUAAAUUUUUAACGUUUGAGUUUUGUAAGAAUUGAAUGAAAAGAAAGUAAAGAAAUAAAAGGGGAUGUGGACUGAGUAUCUGCAGUUCCAUUGCCUCGCUUUAAAGCUCCUCCUCCUCCUCCUCCUCCUCGGUAGCCACUCGUGGUGCUAUUGUAUUUUGACUACACAACGUACUCCACCACUCGCCUUUCUCUUACACGCGCAUGCUUUCUUCUUCUCUUCUCCUUCAACAAAUAUUUGGACUAAAAUUACUUUGCAAACCCUAUACUUUACAAUUUGUUUAAUUUUAAUCUUUUCCAAAUUAAUUCAUAACAUAAAAAUCCAGGUUAGUGAUAUAAAGUUUCCUUUUAAAAUCAACCAUAAAAUAGUAGAUCAUACUUUUAAAACAAAUCAAGAUUUUAUUUGAAUUUUCAUACAUUUUGAUGUUUAGAUUAAAUUUUAAUUUAGGAGAAAACGUUAAGAGACAACAAAUGGUUUUUGAAAAUAUAUUAGGAAAUAAUAAUAUUAAUUAAUUUUAAAAUUGAUUGAAAUCACGCAUUUAGAAGUGUCCUAAUUAAAAUCAAAUAUGUCUCAAAUUAUCUACGUCAAAAUAAUAAAUUUGAAUUCUUUUAAAUUUAUAAAAGUAAAAUUUAAAAUCUUGAACUAGAAGUUAAAAUUGAGUCAAAUUUUAUUAUAACUAUGGGUUCAAUUUCUGCAAACAUGGUAGGUUUAAGGGCCUAAUUCUAACAUAGGUAGAAAUUUAGAGGUCUAAUUAAAAUUUUGAGAGUAUAUUAUAGAAUGGUAUCCACAAUUUGCUCAUGAUUUUACUUUCCUUGUUGGGACUUAGGGGAGAGUGUCCCCUCACGCUCUUCUAUAAUACCUUCCCUUUAUUUAUUUUGUCUUUGAAUUUCAAACAUGGAUUUAAAUUAUUUUUCAAAUACCAUUACGUGUCCUUUGAAAAAUAAUACAUGAAAUUAUCAAAAUUGUGAAGCUUUGUUCAUGAAAAUCAUUUUUUAGAAGUUAUGAACUGUUUUGAGUGCUUUUUUUUUUUUUAACAUAGCAUCUCCCUUUUUAAAUUUAUUUUACUCCUUUAUUCUUAUUGUCGUGUUAAAAUCAUGAGAGAAAUUGAAUUAAAUAAUUGAAAGAUUACGUAUAAAUUAUAAAAAUCGUUUUAGAAAUUAUCCAAUCCCAAUAAACAUAAAAAAAAUAACUAGGUUGAAAUAUUAUUUUGGUUAGUUCAAUAGAUUUUAAAUUUAUUGAAUGAAUAGACUAAUAAACAAAGUUUUUUUUAAAAAAAAAAAAAUUGAAUAUUUUAUCUUAUAAUCAAAAGUCCCAACUUGCAUAUGGAGGUUAUUUAAAUGUAAAUGUAACAUGUAAGAAGUGGUUUUUCUUUCCUCCCCUAAUUGUAAAUUUUAAAUAAUUGAUUUUGAUUUCAUUUUAAUUAAAUUGAGAAACAAAGGUAUGAACUAAGAAGUAAGAUGGCAUCAUGUCCAAAAAGUCAUUUCUGCAGAAUCAAAGCUGUAAAGAAGUGGUUUAUAUUAUAUAUUUUCUAAUUCAUAUAGAUUCCAUCUGUAAAGUAACUUCAACACACAAACACACACCCACGCAAAAAAGUUACUAUUUAAUAUUGUUUUGGUUUUAUAUAUAUAAUUUUGUCUACAAAAUUCAAUCAUACGAUGUAUUGUUUUAUUUAUAUUAUUCAAAAAAUUUCCAAAAUUCUUAACAUGAACACAUUUAAAUGGGUUGAAUUUCUAGGACAUAACAACCUAUUUUAGAUUAGGGAAAUUGUUUUUUUAGUAGGAUCAUGUGAGUAUUUCUUAUAUAUGUGUCAUGUGAAGUUGAUGGGAUAUCUAUUAUAUUUCUAAUUCAUUCUUCCAUAAGAGUCAACUAUUUUUUAAUAAUUAAUCUUCCAUAAUAUUAUUUUAAAGUUUUAUUCUUUUCACAUUUUUAAUUCAUUUUAUGGCGGAUAUAUCAGUUUAUAGGGUUGUUUGAGCCAUUAACUCACUUACAUCAAGUGGGUUAUUAUUGUUUAUUUGAUAGUUGGGUUAUUAUUGUUUAUUUGAUAGUUUGAUAUCUUAUUCCGAUAGCUUAUGUUUUCCAAUUAUUAUGACUAAAGUUUAAUUACAUAUAAAUGAUUUGAAAAUUUUGGCUGUUUAUUGUGUCUACUCACUUUAGGUUAAUAUAGAAAACAAAUUUUGUAAGUUUUAAAAGAAUAAGCUUGUUUUUUUUUAAAAAAAAUAUAUUGUAGAACAAGAAUAACAAAAUAUUGAAUUUCUAAUAAAAGGGGUGUUUUUGGCAAUAUUUUCAUUUUUCAUUUUUAGUUUUUGAAGAUUAAAGAUAUUUAUUUACUUAUCUUGUUUUGUAUCAAAAUUAAGUAGAAAAGUUGCAUUAUUAACCAAAUUCCAAAAAUCACAAACACAUUUUUUAAAAUUAUUUUUUUAUAAAAAAUUUAGAUAUGGAAGUAAGAGAUUUUGAGGUAGAAAAGAUUUUUAUAAACUUAAGUUUCAAAAACAAAAAAGAGUUCAUAUUUCAAAAUCUAAAAAGAAAAAUACAAAGAUCUCAUAUUGCAAUUGACAAUUCUUUAGUUUUUGUUUUUGAAAAUCAAGCUCAUCAACAUUAACAUACCCUCUAAAUCAUUUUCACUAUCUACUUUUUGUCAACGAUUUAAAAAAAAAAAUCUUUUAAAAACUUUUUUCUUCUUUCUCAAACUUGACUAAGAAUUCAAAACCCCGAUAAACAUGCAGAUAAAAUAAGAAAGAAAUGGAUUUAAAUUUAAAAAAUAAAAACAAAAACAAAAACAAAAGAUAGUUACCAAAUGAGAGUAACAUUUAUAAAAUUAUUUAUUAAAUAUAAAAAAAAAUGUUUGGGGCAAGAAUUUGGUUAAAGUAGUCAUGUACAUAUUAUUAUUAUUUAAAAAAUAAACUAUUUUAGCUUGAUUAAAAAAAUAAUAUUACUAUUUUAGCUUGAUUAAAAAAAUAAUAUUACUAUUUUUGCUUGAUUAAAAAAAUAAUAUUACUAUUUUUGCUUGAUUAAAAAAAUAAUAUUACUAUUUUUGCUUGAUUAAAAAAUAAUAAAUAUUAGGAGAAAAAAAAAAGAUGAGUAGUAAUUGAGAAUUUCUAAAUAAUCGAAAAAAAAUAGUUAUUAUAGAAUAAUUCUUAGUCCAAUGAGUAGAAGAGUUAAAAAUUAGAAUGGUAAUUUAGAGAAAGAAGAUAGAUAAAUAAAUAGAAAAAAAUGGGGAGGGAAAAGUAGUGUUGUCGAUAUAAACGAGGCGAAAGGAAUUUAGAAAAAGCGAAAGGAGAGUGAAGAAAACGCGGGAGAGAGUGCGAGUGGGUGGAAGAAGAAACAAGGAAGGAAGGAGAGGUCGCUUUGAAAGCAGUCGUACACAUCAGACGCUUCUUCUUUUUAAGUAACCAACCCCUCCCACUCUCUUCCUCCCCCAAAUUACUCUUUCCCCAUUUUUCCGAAUGAAUCGUCUAGCCCCUUUAUCGGAGGAGCCCAUCGACGAACACGACGCUCGUACUCGUACUCGUAAUCGCAACCGUACCACUGCCGGAGCAGGAGGAGGAGGACGAUCCUGGCGGAACUGGAUCAGAACUCAUUUCUCCAUCCUUUCUUCUGCAAAAAAAUCCGAUGGCCUCAAUGUUCUUCUCAGCGUCCUUGGCUGCCCUCUCUUUCCCGUCUCUCUUCAACCUAACUCCGCCGUCUCCAUUACCAAUCAGGUCCCUCUCCCUUUCCUUUCUUCUCUUUACCGUUUCCGUUUAAUAAAAUUUAAAUAUACAAACAAACAUCUCUCUUAGGUUUAGUUCCGAUUUUGAUUUGUUGGAGAUCUCUGUUUUUAAUUAUUAUAUUUUUAAAUUUUUUGAAUAAUGUAAUAUAGUAUUUGCAACACUUACAACGUUUUCUUAAGCUUUAAAUUACUGAAGUACCCAUGACCCUUUUAUUUGAGUGACCAAAUUAAACCUCUACCCUCCAUCCUUAUGCUUAUUUUGGUCCCACAUUUCAUAUAUAGGAUCCUACACUUCUUUCUAUACCAACAAAAUUUUGUUACAUGUUGGACGAAAAUUGGGAUCUGUGAUGGAAAAUUGGAAUUAUUGUGUGAAUCACUAUCAUUCCAUUUAUCUUCAAAAUUAAUUUUCUUGACCAACGAUGCCGCACUACAAAUUUCUAGAAAAUAUUCGGGUUUUAAAGUGAUGAUAAAUUUUAGGGGUAUCUUUAGUGAGUUCAUAUAUAUAUAUAUAUAUAUAAUUCAAUGACGUGAUAGGAAAUUUGAAUAUUGUACUUUUCUUUUCUUGCUUUAAAAUAGGUGUAUGAUAUCUUUAUAUAAAUUGAGUAAAGUGACAUUAAGUUUUUGUUAUUGUUUAUGAAGUUAACAAACAGUCAUUUUGUUUUCUUUAAAUUAAUUAUAUAAAUGAAACAUUUUCUGAACUCAUAAGUGAAAAUAUGGCAUAGGAGGAGAUCAUAGACUAAAUUCUUUAAAGAUAUUUUAUUUAUGUCCUAUUUAUUAUUAUUAUUUGGGCCUUUGGGAAAGAAAAGAAACUUGUGAUUUAAGCUAGAAGAAUGUGCUGAAAACCAAAAAUGAGUGGUCCAGAAUUUAUGUUUAAUGCAACGAUUUUCUUUCUUUCUUUCUUUCUUUCUUUCUUUUUAAUGAGUUUAAAAAGUUGUCCCUCUUUUUCAGUCUAGAGGUUACUACGAAUUAUUUUCUUGAAAUUCUAUAUAUAAUUUUUAUACCAAUUUGAAAACAAAAAUAGAUGAAUUUUAAUUAAUACGUGUAUUUCUUAGAACAUAGGUAGGGUACGGACAAAAUAAAUUGUGUAUUUUUUAAUUUUAGUCUCUAAUGUUAGUUUGUAAAACUUGAAAACUAGAUUAACAUAUUUUAUUUCCCUUUUUGAAAAUUAAUAUUAUUAUUUAAUCAAUUUUGGUAAAAUUUAACUUUGAAGUAUUUUCUCCCUGAAGAAAGAAAAAAACUUUGAAGGCUUAAAUUGAAAGUUUAUUAAAAGUAUUGGGAUUAAAUGUGGACAAAUGGAAAUAUAAGAAUUAGAGUUCAACAAAUUAUGUAUGAGGACAAUGAUAUCUUAACUUAUCAACUUUGUGUCACAUAAAUUUGCAGUUUUUCUUUUAAGUGAAUAAAUAAUUAUAAUGAAAUGUUGUUUUUUGGAGUAGGUUUCGUCGUCGUCUCAAUAUAUCAUAGAGCAUUUCGCGGCGGCAACGGGGUGUCGGAAGUUGAGGGGGAGAGUGAAGAACAUAUUUGCGACGGGGAAAAUAACGAUGGGAAUGGCGGAGGAGGUCAGCUCCGGCGUCGGCGGCGGAGGAGGAGGAGGAGGACCCACAGGCGGUGUAACACAAAAAAGGUUGUUUUGUGAUGUGGCAAAUGAUUCCGAAUAAGUGGCUGAUAGAGCUGUCUGUGGGAGGCCACAGCAUAGUGGCCGGCAGCGAUGGCAACGUCGCUUGGAGGCACACACCUUGGCUUGGCUCUCACGCCGCUAAGGGCGCCGUUCGCCCUCUCCGCCGUGCUUUUCAGGCAAGUCUCCAAUAUCCAGUAUUAUUCAUUUUUCUCUAUUUUAUCAAAAUUUGGGAUCUUCUUUUGACGAGGAAGAAAUUCGAUCACUCUUUUAUAAUUACAUUUCAAAAUUAUUUUCAAGAUACAAUUAAAAUUUAAAAGCUUGAAAAAGUAGUUUCUAAAACUUUUUAUAAUAAAAAAAACAUUAGUUAAUAAUUCAAAUGUCUUUGUAAGAAUGGUGAGACAAUUAUUAUAGAAAUGGAGAAUACGUGUGAUUCAUUUCAAAUUUAAAGAAACAAUAAUGAUUAACCUUUUUUUGUUACUUUGAUUUAAAAAAAGUUUGAUUUGUGAAAUGAAUGAAAAAUAUUUGGAUGUGUGUAAUCAAAAUUGGCCGAAUGACAAAUUUUUGAAAAAGAUUGUAAUUGAAGGAAAUGCGUAGAAAAACCGAUACAGGUUAUAGUUGCAUCCAAUUAUUGCAUGUAAUGUAUUUCAUGGACUUCGAAAAAGUAGAGUUUCAACAAGUUAGGAUGUAUAUUCUCAAUUAGUUCUGUUACUAUUUGUUUCUCUACAUGUGGAGUUUGGGAAGAAUACUUCAUAAUAGAUAUAGCCCCCACCCCCCCACUAAUAUUUUAGAGAGGCUUCACUUAUCAUCUCUAGACCCUACCAUUUUUGAGACCUAAAAAAAUGUCUUCAAUUUUCUUUCUUUCUUUCUUUCUUUUCUGAUAAACUAAGUCUUUAUCACUAGGACCAUCCCUUAGGAAAUUGUGAUAUUAAUUUAACCAAGAAGAAGAAGAAGAAGAUGAUGAUGAUGAUUUAUUAGCCUUCUUUGCAAAUUGUUGAUUAUUUUUACAAAUGCUCGUGCCUUUUAAAUUUAUUAUUUCACAAAUUUCCAUUCUUAAAUAAUUGCAAAAUAUUAAUGAUUGUAAUUUAAAUAAUAAUUAGUAAAGCCCCUUAUUUGUAGUUCACUAAAAUAAUUUGAACACUCCAAAAUAGUCCUAUCCAAAUUAUUGUUGAAAUUCAUGAGAAAAGAAAAAUAAAUUUAAUUAUUAUUUCUAUUUUUUAUGAAAAUGAUAUUUAAAUCAAUGGAUUAGUCUAAAGCCAACUAAGCAAACUUGAUUGAUUGAAAUAAUUAAAAAAUUUCUCUGGGUCAAUAAUAAUAAAUUAAGUCGAAGCAAAUUAUAAAGUCAGAAUGUUGUUUCUUAUAAUUAAGAGAAAGAAAAUCAAUGUGGGAAGAUGUUGACUUUGAGUUAUAAGAACUUUAUGCAUAAUUUGUUUUUAAUAUAGGGAUUGGAUCCUCUAGCAAUUUCAGAAGUAUUCUCUCCAGCUCAGUACAUGGGAGAGAAACAAAUCAUGGCCAUUGAUUGUUUCGUAUUGAAAUUAUCAGCCGACCAAACUGAUCUUGCUGAUCGAAGCGACAACACAGCUGAGAUGAUCAAGCAUGCAAUCUACGGUUACUUUUGUCAAAGACGUGGACUUUUGGUCUACUUAGAGGACUCCUCAUUGACUCGAAUUCAAUCUCCUGGUUCUCACCCCAUGUACUGGGAAACAACCAUGUCAACAAAAAUCGACGAUUAUCGAACAAUUGACGGUGUUAUGAUUGCCCACUCUGGUGAGACCGAUGUCAUCAUCACACGCUUUGGAGAUGAUCUUAAAACCGGCCCUAUGAUCACGCGAUUGCAAGAGAUUUGGAGUAUUGAUGACGUGGCGUUUAAUGUUCCAGGAUUGUCUAUGGAUAGUUUUAUCCCACCUAAACAAGUUCAAAAGAAUUGAGCAAGUAGUGAAUCGUAAUCGGUUGUCAUCGCUCGAUAGAUCAACAGUUGUGAUUUGAUAGAUGAAAGUUUAGGUUGAAUGAGUUCAAUCCAUGAUUAAAUGUAAGUCUGCAUGAUCCAAAAGGUUAAAAAUAAUAUAAGAUGACAUAUAUGUUAAUAGUUUAAUGUUUUCCUUUUCUUAAAAAAAAAGAGAGAGACAGAGUAGAGAAGAAAAAAAGAAAGGAAAAUUGCCUCCAUAAAUGUUUAAAAAGUUUUAAAUCUCUUGUUGGUGGGAUGCUGUUAAAUUGUAAUUUUUACCCACUCACGGUAAAUUUCUAAAAUGCUAGAACAUUUGAGGUUAAAUACAACAUUGUAAGUAAUAAUUAAAAAGUUAAGUGAUGAAUAUUAUUUGAAUGGGUAAAAAAUAAAACUUGGAAUUAUUAUGAAAUAAAGUUGAGUGAUGGAGACAUAGCCUAAUAAAAUAGACUAUCGAAGGGCAAUCUUUGCCGGAUCUAUGUCUUUGAGACAAUGUGAUAUGUCUAAUCCAAUUAUUAAUUUUCAUAAUAAAAGAACCUUAUCAUACCUUUAGGAUUGUAAUAAAUCUAAGUUUGCAAAUAUUAACAACAAUAUUGAUUCUCAUUCAAAAAAUUUAUUCUAACAUUCUCAUUCAAAAAAUUUAUUCCAACGUUCUACAUUCGAUAAAUUUAUAAAAUUUGAAAUUAUAAAUUACAAGUGUAUAUAAUAUUUUUGAAAAACUACAAAUAUAGUAAAAUCUGUCAAAGUAUAUCAAUGAUGGAAGUUUGUAACAGUCCUCAACUUUGCUAUAUUUGUAAUUUCUUUUAAAUAUUGCUACUUAACAUAUUUUUGGAAUAGUUGCAAAUUUAGUAAUUAAAUUCAAAAUAAUUAAGUAUAUAGUAACAUUUUUUAAAAAAAUUGCAAAUAUAGCAAAAUUUGUCAAAAUCUAUCAAUGAUUAGAGUUUAUCAUAGAUCAUGUUGUAAAAAUUGGUCUAUCAUCGAUAGAUCAUACGAGUCUAUCGGUGAUACAAGUUUAUCAACGAUAGUUUUGCUAUAUUUACAAUUUUUUUUAAAUGUUGCUAUAUUUUCAAUUUUUUUUAAAUGUUGUUGUAUUCUUAAUUAUUAUUCGUGAAAUGGGUACUGAUUUACUAAAGUUGGACUAUUUAUUGGACCGGCCCAGUGCAAUAUCAAACCGUGAGCCCAAGUAAGCCCAAAUUCAACUAUUUCGUCUCUAAUCUCUCCAAUGGAGUACACCGUAGACAGAGAAAUGGCGUCGUGUUCCUUGGUGCGUUUUGGCCGUUGGAUUUCCCGGUUCAAAUUCCCGUACACUCUCAGGCCAAGCCAUUUUCCUCUCCGUCACCUUUCUCCUCCUCCGCCGGACUCCGCGAUGCCGAUUCUGCCGCUCCUGGCGGUCCGCCACCUAUACGAGUCUCGCUCACCGAUUCAGCCGGUCGAGGUGUUUUCGCCACUCGAAAGAUCGGCGCCGGAGAACUCAUACACACAGCCAAACCACUCGUUGCACAUCCUUCACUAUCUUCUAUCCACCAUGUGUGCAAUUUCUGCCUGCAGAAGCUGCAGAGAUAUGCUAACGUCGACUCCGAUGCUCGUCGUGCAUCAUUCUGCAGUGAAGAGUGUGAGCAACAUUCCAAGGUAUCAGUACAAUUAUAUUCUCUCACUGUUUUAAUUAGGUUAAUCUGUUUUAAAUUUUGUUUGAUUCUUGAUCUGUUUUGCGUUAAUUUUAUUUUGUGAAACCACAAGCCGUUCUUACACGAAUUCGUUUUCACCUGCCUCUUGUGUUGUACGAAUUGUCUGCACGAAUUCUUCGAUUAAAUCGUAUUUAUGAACUUAUUUAAGACUCAAUUGAGUAUUAUUCUCUCUCUGCUGCCUUAUUCGACGUUCGUUCAGAAGUUUGUCCUAUGUCCGCCAUGUGUUUGUAGUUUUGGUUCUGAAAGUGAUACCAUUUAUCAAAUUGUCAUUUCGCUUAGAUGCAUUUGAAAAACUUCUAUGAAUAUCGAAAUAAGCAAGUUCUUACAGUAGAAAUUUAAAAAGUUCAAGGUAGAACUUGAUUUUUUCAAGUGGUUAUUUCCUUUGGAUCCGAAGCCAAAGAGAUGCAUUUGGAUUUUGGGAGUCUUAGAACUGAAAAUUUAGCAGUUGGAGAGUUGUUUAUCAUCUUUGUCUUUUAUCUGCACUGUACAUGGAGAGAAGAACAGCACCCGUAUUUUUCCUGUCUAGGCGUGGGUUGGUUAAGUUUCAUUAUGUAUAUGGUUUUUUCUCUUAGGUUUUCCACGAUGUUGAAAUGGAAGCGGAUUGGUCAGACUACGACAAUUAUUGCAGGUGCAUUAAAUUUUCCAUUAUUUAGGUCACCAAUUAAUUUUAUGUUUCCUACUGUACAUAUAUGCAUUCGAGAAUUGAUGAUUUAUUGGAGUCAGUACAGUUAUGACUGCAAUUUAGAGUAUCUGAAGAGAAAGCAAAAGAUUUUCUUGUCUUUAAGGCUUAAUGAUGUGAUUGAUUUGUGAUAUAUGGGCCAGCCCCAUUGUGGUUCACUAACCAAGCCAUCGACAAAAUCUCUUUGGUAUUUAGUUUUAUAGGCUUCACUUUCCAGCUCUAGUGUUUAGUUGUCUGUUUUCCUUUUUUCCCCCUCUUGGGUAAUUUUCUUCUGUCUUCUAUUCUGUAUUUUCCCAUGGAUAAGAACUGCUGCGUUAAGAACAAAUCUUAGUUUAAUGGCUGAAAAUAAGCAAUGUCGUUGGGAAAUGAUUAUUUCUGAAGGGAACUCAAUUCUUCGUUGUCAAUCUACUGUCAUUAGUAUUUUUUGGUGCCUUCAUGGAAUAACUUUGUCAUCAGUGUUUUUCUUUAUCCCAUUUUUUCUCCUCUCUUUUAACCUUAUUCAAGAUUUUUAGGCAAUAGAACACCUUAUAUAAAGUGAUAACUUUUUUAAUCUACGAAGAUAAUUUAGCAUGCAAGGGUAGAAACCUGAACAAAAUAGUCCAUAUACUGAUAAACACGCACAUGGCUUUCAAUGUGCCUUCUAUACGAAUGACUGGUUGGUAACUUUGUAGUGGUACAACUAACAUGUCAAAAAUGUGUGUUUAUGGCCUUGUCAAGGGAGCGAGGGUUCAAAUAUCCUCUUUUGGUGAAGCGAUUGGCUUGUAUGGUUAUAUCUGGAGCUAUGUCUUCUGACCACCUUGACAUACUUCAACCUUCUCGUUUGUCUACUGAUAUAGUUUUGGAGGUAAGAUACUCCACAUGUUUCAUAUGAUUGAUUACUUAUUGGUCCGUAUCCAGCAGACAGCUCAAUAAUUUGCUGAUAUUACAUUUAGGUUUAGUUUGAAUUGGUCUUAGUCGGUGUACUCUAUCCUAUUUCCUUGGAUGUGUUAUUGUUUUAGUUCAUUGAAAUUUUGAUUUAAAUUAUCAAUUCCUGAUAUUCUUUUGUAAGCUCGAUUUUGGAGAACAAGUUAAUCUUUCAUUGAAUGUUAAGUACGCAUAUAUUCUCUUGGAGUUGGAAGGAAGGCUGCAAAAUACCAAGUACACCAAAAAUAGUCUUGAAACAAGUUUGAUCAGAACUAAAGCACAGAGACGCCAAUUACAAUUGCCUUCAAGCAUAAGUAAUAGAAAGAAUAAAAAUCUUUCUUCCACAGUGAAAUAGUGGUGCCCAAAUUGAAGCAUUAAGCUAAACCCAACCUCUCGAAUUAUUGCAAAUUUAUUUUCAAGCAAGUUUCGUUUCAUUCCAACCAAUUGUGUCAGAAAGAUGGCCGCUGACUAGCACUCCACAUGUCAUAAAUGACAAGGAUGAUGAAUCUCCUCUAAAUACCUCCACCAAUAGUAUGAUAUUGUCCACUUCAAACCUAAAUCCUCGUGAUUUAGCUUUUAGUUUUGUCUUAAAGACCUUAUACCCUUAGAGAUAGUUGUCCUUAAUUUGCAUUCCCAACAGUAGUGUUGUUCUUCUUUUUUUUCUAUUCUUUUUUUCUUCUAUUUCCAUUUCAUUGAAAAUCUGGCUUUUAGCUUAAAUAAAAUGUAGGUGUAUGUAUUUGUUUGAAUUGUCUAGGUACUAAGUGAAUAUAGUUUUAUUCAUCUGAAAACUUCAGUUAGAAGAAGGAUACAGCUUGCUGAGAAAAGCCUUGAUCAACGCAAACAUCACAGAUGAACGGAUGCUUUGUAUCCUACUAUAUAUGCUGGCAAAGAUUUGUAACAAUAUUUCAUGUCAUGCUAUUCUUUCCUCAUUGUUGUUGACUUACAUAUAUUCCAAGUUUUAACUCAAGAAUGGUAUACUGGAGUUCUCGCACGAAUUCGUAUCAAUGCCUUCCGAAUUGAAUUGGCUGGAGGGUAUGAAGAUCUUCAUUCUCUUGCAGCAGCCUGUGUCGAAGCUGAAGCUGCUGUCGGGAAUGCUGUUUACAUGUUGCCAUCUUUCUAUAAUCAUGACUGUGGUCAGUGCUACCUCGUUCCUUUUUCCCAAGCAUCUCUUUUUAUUGAAACAUAAAACAUGUUGAAUAGGAACUGUUGACAUAACUGCCACAGAGUUCUCCGCUUGCACUUGUGACUGCAGUUCCACGUCAGGGAAGAUACAAAAUUAUGUAACAGGACAUAGGGAAUUGAAGCAAAAGAGAGAAGAAAAUCCGACUAGCUAAAGCUUUAGUGCUAAUGUCAUGAGGCUGUGUUUGUUGCAGAUCCAAAUACACACAUUAUAUGGAUAAAUAAUGCAAAUGCAAAAUUGAAGGCCCUCCGUGAUGUUGAUCCUGGUAAGUUUCUUUUGUGUUUCGUUAUAGGUUCAAGGGAUGUAUACAUAAAAUCAACAUAGGAUUUUAACAAUUACAAGAAUCCAACUUGUUUACAGAAAUCCUGGUAAUUAUGCUUUUUGUUUAGAGAACUUAUAACUACAACAAUUGUUACUGAAAUGACAGAUGAAGAGCUCCGUAUUUGCUACAUUGAUGCAAGUAUGGACUACGACGCUCGUCAAACUCUUCUGCACCGAGGGUUUGGUUUUAUUUGCAAAUGUGCACGAUGUUCAUAUGGUGAUUAAGGGGAGUUUAAUUAUUGGUACAUCAAAAAAUUUUCAUAUAUAGAAUGCUCAUCUAAAACAAAAUUGUUGACUUUGCUUCACUUCUUAACUAGGUAUUAAUCCCAUAUGGUUGUAGAUGUGGCCCUAAAUCAACCUUAUUUGUGAUUCUAUUAUGGCUUGGCUUCUCCUGAUGGCCUAUGGGAAAGAAGAAUAGGACCAAAGGCUCCAAUAUCUGAAAUUUGUGAACAUUUUUGGGAUAUGAAUAGAGAACAGAGGGAGAAAUGUUAUCCUUUCCAAUAAUUCUCAUUAGGUGUGUUGUUCUAUGACUGCUAAUUUAUGUUAGUUUUCUAUGACAUACAAUAAUGGGAAGUUCAAAAUUCAACCGUGCAGGUUUCGAAGUGUUUUCAAAUUAGUGCCAUUAGCAAGAAUACUAUUAUUUGAUGCAUUGUAGUAAGUUUAACGUUUAGUUUAUGGUAUGUUUGAGAUUGUCCAAUAUGGUUAAAAUUGCUUUUCAUUUCGAUCAUAAAAGUGCGUUUAGAAUUUUAAUUUUUUAAUAUUAAGUUAGAUUUAAAUGGUUAAAUUGCUUUUCUCGGAUUCAAAAGUGAUUUUAAGAUGUUAAAAUCACUUUCUGGCAUUUGAGCCUCAAGUUUAAAAACAAAUACUUCAGUCCUUGAAAAUUGUAAAAUAGUUACAAAUUUUCUUUGAAAUGAUUUUGAAUUCAAAAUUGAAAAUUUCAAGAACAAACGUCCAUUUUACCUAAUUUUGUUUGAUCCAAAAUUUCAUUCCCAUUGGCGAUAACUAAAAUUGAAGGCGAUUUAGUGACGCUUAUUGCUACCACCAUUUCGUCUAUUCACAUUACUUUGUUACUUUUCUAAUUAUUCCUCGAUUAGUUAAAACUCUAUUUUAUUUAUUAUUGACUCGUAUCUCAUUUUUUUACCUUACAAAAAAUAGUCUUAAGGUUAUAUACUUUCAUUAGAUGUCAUUUUUUUUUAUAAAAUUAAAAAUCCUACUCAAUUCAUAAUAUAUUAUUAGUUCGCUAAAAUCAUUUAAGUAGAGAUACCAUUAAAAAAAACCUAUUAUCGGCUGUUGUAAUAAAUCCAUACUUAGAAUUGGGUUAAAGUGUUCAGUUAGGAAAGAUUAAACAAUAAAGUAUGUGUGUACAUAUUAAAAAAAAAACCACAGUUUUAAAAGCAAGAGAUGAGUGGUAAUCAAAGGAGAUACUUUUAUAUUGAACAGUAAAGCCAUUUAUCAUCAAACUUAACCACACACCACUCAUUCUCUGCGUGCAUCUCAAAACCCUACGUUCCUUCAAUUUCCCACCCUUACCAUAAAAAAAGAAAAAAAAAAGAAAGAAAAUAGCAAAGUAAAAUAGCCGUUAAGGCACCAUCUCUCCCUUAGAAAGAUCACUAGAGAGAGGAGCAAACAUUGAUUUGUGGAUUAGCUAAGCGAGUUUAUGAGAUUGGUAUAGAUUUUGAGAGAGAGAAAGAAAGAAAGAAAGAAAGAAGAAAGAGGUGUGUGUGAUUGAGGAAAGCAAUGGGAUAUAAUUUGAAGGCAUUGAAAGAUUAAAAAACUUUUACUAUGAGAUGAAGAAGGAAGGUACCAGAGAAAUACAAAAGCAGAUCUCAUCAUAGUGUGAGGGAAUGAUCGAUCUCUCUCUCACCUGCGUGGAGAUAACAAUUGAUCCAAACACCAUUCUUAAUAUUCUUUUUUUUUACCAUCCCUUUUUCUUUCCCUUUCUUUGCUGCUUUCAUGCUUUUCUUCCACACACACACCUGAACAACUACACACACACAAACACAAUUAAAAUUCAACUUUUGGAAUAAUCAUUUUUCCAUGCAACCCAAAUCAUGCAUAAGAGUUAGUUACCUACACUAUUUUGGUUAACGUCUAGGCCGAGAUUUGCACCGGAACUCGGCAAGAAGUGCUAUAUGAUCGGAGGACCACACUGGAGAUGGAAGGGCUGUAUCUUUCCUCAAGCUCUCCUCAUCCAACAGCUCUAACAAAGACUCCACUGUUAAAGUGUCCGCUGGUGAAGAAACAAAUUUAUUUAGAAAUGAGAAAAAAAGAACAUUCCAGUUUGAUAAAAUGAACAGCAGCCGGAAGGAUGAGCAUACCUGUGUAGAAAAUGUAGUCCAGAGUUCCGAUAAAAUCUCUAGUACAAUUUGUAAAUAAGGGUUCAUUUGUUGUAGGAUCCAGUCUUUUCCUCUGCUUAUCUAAACCGAUGCCAACUCCCUUUAUUGCAAAGGAGGAGUAAGCACUAACCUGUGGAGAAAUCAUGGUUCCAAUAUAAAACAACAGGGAAGAUAACUUCAGUGCUGGUUUAGAUACAUUGACACUGUUGAUAGAAGAAUUACCAGAGGUAGCUGAUGUGACAAUUUGCUAUGUGGUUGACAUAGAUUCAGAGGAUCUACAACUAAAUCCGGAUGUGUUGGUUCUACCUUCCCCCUAGCAAGAAGAUGAUGUGGAGCACUGCAACAAAGUUCAAUGACUAAGAUAAUUAGUUGAACAUAUCCCUUUUUUUCCUUUUAUCCCAAAUAAUAAUAAUAAUAGUAAUGAUAAUAAUUGCACAGAUCUUUGACACAAUUGUAUGAACUUAUUUGUCAGUAACAACGAAGAAAACAAACCUUCCAGGAACAGAAUUAAAAUCCCCACAGACCAGCAUUGGAAUAUCUGCACUCACGGCUAUUUUCUCCAGUCCUUUCAAUAGAGUAUGCACCUAGUUUCAAGAAUGUUAAACAAGACUUAGAUUCAUAUUCAAGGGAGAAACCCGAAGGAAAACAUGAUACGGUAUACAACAUAAAUAAAAUUACCUGCCAGAGCUUGACAUCUUUUAACUCUUGGUUCCCAUUAAUAUGCGUAUUAGCCUGAUAGGAAGUUAAUAAUAAAAUAUAUAAGCACGGGAGAAGAGAUAGGAAAUUGCAAGCUUGGCUCCCCCAAAGAAAGGCCAGCAGAAAAUUACACAAGAAACCAAAAAAUUCAAAUCUAUUAAUACUGUUUGUAGAAAAGCAUAUCAAACAGCAAGAUUGAAAUUAACAGAACACAGGUGUCCAGAGACAAUCAAAACCCACGUAUUAUCUAAAAGAGAACCUCUGGGGAGAAAAUAGGCUUAAAUAAUAAUAAAAAUUAAGGAGCCUCAUCAAAUUAUUAACAAACAAUUAUAUUAGAAGCAACAAAAGCAAACCAUAGAGACAUUGCCAAAUAGACAAGAAUUCAAGAAUUCUUACACACAAACAAGCUGCCUCUUUCCUGGAUUGUCAACUGUUGGUGUGCUGAAUUUUGAUUCAAGAACUACGAUAAGUGCAACAUCAUCCUAACAACCGGUGCAGUAAAAAAUAAUGCGUUAGUUCACAACACCCUGUGCAAUCAAAAUGCCUGGACUAGAGGGAAAAGAAGCACUAGAAAAUCACCUUGAUUAAUCUGUUUAAAGCAUUUCUCUUUUGAACAGUUAGAAUAGUCGCUGGAUCAGUUAAAGAUUGUGCAGCUUUGUUAAACUCAACCUGCAAACAUGCCAGAAAACAGUGAGGAUGCAGCAAUAUCGCAUUACAAAGAAAAACACUUUCUCAAACACUUCUCAACCUCAUAUUUUUUGACAUGUGCAAAUCUAUCUCUACGGAAAAAUGUUGCACAGCCAUCAAUAGUUUGAAUAUUCCCAUUGUAGAUCUGAAAAAAGACAAAUACAGCGGAUGAGAAAACAGAUAGACCUCAAAUCUAUUUGUAUAUAAAGAGUAUACUGCAAACGGUAAAUGUGAAAUAAACCUCGUUGGUUUUUCUCUUAUAAAGUGCCUGAUAACCAUGUUUGUCAAGUUCAGGAGCAAAAAAUUCCACAAAGUGAUCGCUCUGAACCUGUUUACAGACGGUGAACAAUGCAUAGUUCAAACACAACAUUCAAUAUUUGACCAGAAAAUAAAAAUAAAAUAAUAUUAAUAUCAACAUUAAAAAAAUUAUCAAAAUUUUCAGAAUGGUGUCAGUUGUCACAUUCUCAACCUUACAAAGGUACCCACUUCCAAAAGAAUGAACAAGAAAAACUAGUUUCCUUGGACCCAUCUUUUACAAAUCUCAGUAUUUUGGGGACUACACAUCCUAUUGUGUUGAAACGAGAAAUAAGAUUGGAUGUUUUGAAGCGAAAAAUACUUGAUUGCUAUCUUUCUGAUUUUUUGUGAACUGAACUUUUCUUUAAAAAUAUAAAGAAAAGUAUAGCACAAAAAGAUGAAGCCCAUAAAAUAUUCUGAAUAAAUAAAAUGCUUAGAGAACAUCAAUUGCAAUUGCAACAAAACAAACUUCUAGAAUCCCAACAUGCCACUGAUGCUAUAGUAGCCAAAAUUUUAUUUAUUCACAGACAUGAAGACAGUGAUAUUUACCUCCUGAAGACAAAUUAUAUCUGCACGAUAACCAACUAUUUCUCGAAGUAGAUUUUGCCGGCGAUAUGGCCAUGAAAGAGCCCAUGAAGGGCAAUAACUGAACGUUUCAUUUGUGGCAUAUACAUCAGCCAAAAUAUUGUAGGAAAGCACAGUAAACGUUCCUGACGAUGAUACUCGACCAUCCAAAUCCAGCUUUCCCAUCACAUCUACCCCAUUAACUGGUAUUACUCGACGUGGACUAGGGGAUGGAGCUGGAAUGACCCUAGAAGUUAAUACAGUAAGUGGAGAUGCCACAGGUAACAUCGUUUCCACAUCCACAACAGCACAUUCAAACUUGAGGACCUGGCCAAUAUCUUCAGCGGUUGGUGUGUAACUCUUAUAGCGUCCUACUUCUAACCAAGUUUCCACUCCCGUCUUUUGUGUAACAGCUGCUGAAUUGUUGUUGUUAUUGUUAUUAUUAUAACGUCCAAAUAACUCUUCCUCUUCAUUACCAUUUUCGUUCAUAGCACUUGCAGCACGGUCAUGUAGGACACGAUGAUGCUGCCAAGAAUCUGAGAAGCAUUUGGUGGUGCAAUGAUAACUUUUAAAAGCAGGGAUUUUGGCUUUAACACAACCUAAACAUUGUAAAGUGGCUGCCUCAGAAGGAUGCACACUACAAACAGCAAUUUUUUUAUCACUUUGUAAGCGGUACCUGAAAAGAAUUUAUUGUUUAAAGUUCAAUAUCAGCAGAGCAUCAUUUCAACAAAAUGAUAGAUGUCAGACCAUACAAAUUCCUAAUUCUUAUGGAGAGAAAAAGAAAAUAGAUCUUGAAGAAAAGCUAAAUUAUUAGAUUGAAAAAAUGAGCUCCAUCAAUGAAACUAUUUCCAAUAGAGAGAUAAAAAAAGAUAUUAUUAAGAAAAUGCCCAAGUGGUAUAACAUUUAAGGGCCACAUUCUGCCUUUGCAGCACUAGGAUUUCAUCACCACAAUUCAAUUCAUCAUCAAUUUUCAUCAAUAUGUAGAAACAUUAGAAAUUUAGGGGGCGUUAAAUCCAUACACAAUCCAGAAAUACAUCUUUCAAUUUCACAUGAAAUGGAAUCCUGACUUGAAAUAACUUAAAAGUUGGUGUAAACCACCAUAAAACAGUUUAUUCCAGAGUGAGAAAUGUUUAAAUCAUCAAAAUUAGAAGAGAGCCUUCAAAAGAGAAAUCCCCAACAAAAAGCUGAACAAAUUUCAGUAGCCUAAUUAAAUCAUAACCACCAGCAAUUUAAAGAGUAUGCCAAGAAAUUCAGUAGGGUGUAGUCAGUACACCUUACUUGCAGCGCAUCUUGGCCUAAAGAAACACACACAUUAGAAUAAAUACACACACAAGAGUGAUGUUGAGAAAAAAGGCUUCAUUUUCAAGUUACCAUUUCUUUAAUUCCUUAUGGUCUCAUCAGUCAUCAUCCAUUCAUAUACUAUAAUUCUGCUUUUUUUAAAAUCCGUACUUACUAAAAAACAUCACUUUUCUGUGUUUUGCACUUUUGCCUCAAAAUAAUAUUGUGCAACAUCGAUCCCCACAAGAGAACAUAUGCAGGCUACUAAGAGCAUAAUUGACAAAAACACAUUGAUUUUAAGGUUUUAGUCCGUCUUAGGUUCAAAUCUCUCAAGCUCACCUUCAUAUGGGAAAACAUAGAAGAAGAGGAAGAAGAAAACAAUAUUGUUUUGAGGAAAGGAAAAUGGGAUUCAUAUAUUAUCCAGAAUUAUCUUCUUUUUUACAAUUAUUCAUUUACAAAUCCACUGCACAGCCUAACAUUUGAACUUGUAGUCUCUUCUGAUCCAAUCAAUUCUUCAUUCGAGUAUUAAUGUAAGCAGGUAUUUAUUGAAAUUUUAAAAUCCACAAGACUCCACUAUGAAAAAGAAACUGCUAUAUUUCAGCUUCAAGGCCUGCUCAAAGCAAGGAAAUUCCACAUAACUGAAGCCUCCUGUCCCUCCAGACCUAGAUUAUUCCCUCUACCUUCCCUUUCCCGACAACUCUUUUUUAUCCAUCAAAUAAGAGAUAUACUUUCUAUGUGGGAAUUCCAUCCCUGUAUGGACAAAAGUUCAACAAAUUUUUUAUGGAAAAAGAUUGAUUUAUGUCCCUUAAAUUUUAAGGUUUUUUUUUAAUUUUCGCUUUUCAAAAUAGAUAAGAAUUGAAACUACACUCGGAGAGUGUUUGGGCCACCAACUUGAAGUCGAAGUUGGGUUGGGUUAUUAUAACUUACCCCAUUUAUAACCUACCAAGUAUCAUAAAUAUUAUUUUAAAACUCUCUUUGAUCCCAUUUACUACUUUCUUGUAAUAUUUCUACUUAUCCUCUCCCUCCUCUUUGUUAGAGUGUUUGAACCCCAAACACAUCCACAUGUUAUUAUAACUCAUAUUUACUCGUAAGUCAUAACCAACUGAGAGAAUAGUUAAAUUCUAUAUCUGCAACACGCCCUCUUCACUAGCUUUCCAAACGACUAAAAAACAAAUAAUAAAAGGGCAGCAACGCCUUUGGACAUGUAUAAAAAUACUGACGUAGUACAAUACAACCAUUGGCAUCUUUAUAUAAUCAAGCAAGCUGACAAUUACAUUAUAUUAUUUGCUACAUUCAUAAAUCGUAAUCAUGGUCAUUUUUCCUAGUAGUAGGAAUAUAGAAGAGAUAACAGCUAAAAACGCGUUUAGAAAUUAAUCUCACCAUAUAAAAGUCAAAAAACAUACAGUCAUUUUGAUACAAACUGUCUCAAGAGUAGCACCAAAACAAUUCCAAGUUCCAAGAUAAAGAAGAAACCACUAAACCCCAAACAUAUCCAAUUGAGGUACAACGACCAACAGUCAAGACACUGUAGAGUAGUAAACAACCAAUAGACAAUAAUAUCACAAAAGGAGAUGAGAACCAAUUCAAAUUCCGCAAUGAUCGCUUGGAGCUUACCAUCUGUAUCUCAGAAAUUGACCAUCAAGAGGAGCGGACUCAGAUACAUCGUCAGUACUGAUAUUCUUAUCGGGGCGGCGAUGGAGAACGUAGGGCGUAAGUUCGCAGCCUACAAUAGGAAUAUCAGAAGGCAGGUGCACGCGUACCACGCUCAGCAUACUUUACUCUCGUCAAUCGACACAACGCGGCAUAGAAGAUAAAACGAAAACACUCGAAGCUUCACGAAAAGCAGAAAAGGCAUCAAGAAAGCGGAUUCCCGGCGGAUCCGCCAUUUAGAAGAAGACGAAAACCGCCAGAGUUGAAGGAGAAGAGGAGGACUCAGGUGCGGAUCUUGAGAGGAGGAAGUAUGGAAAUGGAAUCGGGAAUUUGAAGAGAAGAUUUGGAGAAAAAGGGAGGAAGAAUGAGAUGGAUGAUUAGGGUUUUAGAGAAGAAGAAGAAGAAGUGAGAGUGGAAUUGAAAUUUUUUGUUGAUGUGUUUGUUGCGAUUUUAAUGCCUUUUCUUUUAGAGAGAAGAGAGAGCUGGGAAGUGGAGGGGCGUGAAGAAAGGGAGGGAUUGUUAGGGGGUUUAUAUACUAUGACUUCUUCUUCUUCUUCUUCUUUCUUUCUUUCUAUUUUAUUUAUCAUUUCUUUGCUAUAUCAUAUAUUAUUAUGCGACGUUUUGGGUAAUAUGCUAAUUCCUUUUCUUUUAGACUACUCUGUGACUAAUAAAAAGUUUCUUACUACCAAAAUCAAUUACCCGGGUUGGGUUGGUUUUAUUUUUGGGUUCGAUUGAGUUUUAAAAUCUUUAUAUUUUUUUGGAUUGGGGUUGAAUUAAAGCUUUAAAAGUCUGGUUCCAAUUUGUAAUAUUAUUGAAAUAUAUGUUUUUAUAUUAUAAUUAUAAAUUAUGAGUAUUAAAAUUCAUGUAUAUUUUUAUGGUUUUUUUUUAAGUUUACGAUUAAUAUCUUAGAUUUUAAUCAAACUUCAGUUAUUAUUGCGUGUGUAAAUAAAUUUAAGAAUUUUAAGUUAAUAGAAUUUACUAAGAAGGAAAAGAAAAAUAAAAAUAAGCAACCUCACAACCAAAGAGACCUUGUUAGACCCGACUUGUGGAAAUAUAGAUAGGUGAAUAUAAUUAAUGACAUGUGGUUAAAACCUUAUUUAGAUGCAUUGCAUUCUUGAUAGCAAACUUUACUUUUGAUUAGGAAGUGUUUGAUUUGACAUUCUUUCUCAAAAUUCAAAAUUAUUUAUUUAUUUCAAAGUUAUAUUCGGACUUAUUUUAUGAUUUUAUGGCAUUUUGAAAACAAAAUUUGAUAUUUCUUAAAUAUGUUUUGAUUUCUUACGUUCUCCUCUUCUAGCUAGUUUUGAUUUUAGCACGUAUUAGGAACAUAUAUACAUGCAUACCUAUACAAAAGUAAUAUCACUAGUUUUGAUUUUAGCACGUAUUAGGAACAUAUAUACAUGCGUACCUAUACAAAAGUAAUAUCACUAUAAGAUCUUCGUUUAUAAAGUUUUGGAUGAACAAUUUUGUGAAUUGGUUUGGUAGUAUUCUUUUUUAGUUAUAUUGAUAUAGAAAUUGCUCACACACCAACUACCCAAGGGAUACAAUGAGAUUGCAUAGUGUUUUGAAGAAGACAUUGAUAGGAAAAAUAUUUGUCACCCCACCACAUAUAUCAAAAGGCAUGGACAUGAACAACAAAAUGAAUUGCCUACUAUUAAAUGUCCCCCACCUACAUACAAGACAAUUAAAACUUGUGAGAUAUUCAAUUAAUAUCAUUGUCAUGUUCGUGAAAGUUGUCCAAUAUAUACCAAAUCAACAAUAAUUUGAUUACAAGGUGACUCGAUAAAUAACUAAGUGUAGGAGAGUUUGUCCAUGCGUGGUUUGUAAUAUUUAGUCACUAGUCGUUACUUUUAUAAAUGGUUGUAUAAUUAUCAAAUAAAAAACAAUAGAAACUCGUGUAUAUUCACUUUGUCGUGAGAGUUUAUACCAACAAUGAUUUCUCAAAUUUUAACAAUGUUCGUUACAGAUACAAUAAUGUUUUUAAAUCGAUGUAGUUUACUAUUUAGGACGAGAAGAUGUUAUUUCAUCUCUGCCUUUUUUUAGUGUCAUGUACUAUGAACUAGUUAAUCAAGCUAGGGAGAGUGAAUAAGAAGAUUUGAGCUUCUCAUCUUCAACAAAAGCAUGUGACUAAACUUGUCUGACGAGUUCAUGUUUACUAGUAAGAUUGAGGUAGUACUGAUAUCGAGCACAAAUUUAAUCACAUAUGAUAAUUUGGUCCUCUUAAAACUCAUUGAAGAUAGUGGAACCUACCUCAUAAUAGGUAUGAUACUUUGCACUUAUCCAGGUGGACUUUAAAACAUUACACUUCAUUCACACAGAGAACCAUGUUUCUUGAAAUUAAACUCGAGUUUGUGUGAGAUUUACUCUCUAAUACUUGACUUUAACUUGAAGAUCGUAAGGAACUCUUAUAUUUAUAGGUUUUUUAUAGGGUCAUGUGGUUUCAAGCUUAUGUAUAUGAAUCUGACCCUUUUAACUGAAAUAUAAUUUUUAGUUUGGUUGAUAUUUGGCCGAAUCAAGCUUAAAUGUUGACUUUUAAUUGAAUAUAAACCAACUAUGAAACACUAGGGGCCUUUUUGGGAGAACGAAUGAGUUAUGAAAAAAUUAGUGUUAUGAUAAAACUAGUGUUAUGAUAGUAUGUAUUUUGGGAAAUAGUGAUGUGGGAAGAAUUAUGGGGUGAUUAUGAUAAGAUUUUUUGGAGAAGGGUUGUGUAGGUAAUAAUAUGAUUUUUUUUAUACAUUUUUUUUAAUUUGUAUUUUAAAUAUAGUACACAAAUUUUGUAUAUUUAAUUUACGAAAUUGUUCUAUUUUCGUAAAACAUAUUUCAAAAAUUUAUUUAAAUGUGACCAAUUUUCAACAUUUCUUACGUAAUUAUUACAUGCGAAUAAUUUAUUAAUUUUUAUUUUGAAUUAAUAUUAUAACUGCAAUACACAAAUUCUGUAUAUUUAAUUUAUCAAAUCAUAGUAGUUUUAUAUUCAAAAUUUAAUUCAAAUAAAUCUUAAAUAAGAUAUUGCAAUUAAAUUGAUUUAUUUUAAAGAAAAUUAUUGUACAUUAAAGUUUAAAUACUUUUUAAAAUAUUUGUUGUACAUUUAUUUAAGUUAUUCAAUCGUUCAAAAAGUUAUUUAAUCUAACAUUAAAUAGCCUCAUUUGAUUUUUAUUUUUUUUUAUAAAUUUAAUAAAAUUAAUUUAACUUAAAUUUAUCAUUAAUAGUUUAUAUAUGCAUAGGUCAAUUUUCAAAUAAAAUAUUCGAAAAUUUGAAAAUUGAAUAAAAUACAUGAAAUAAUAAUUUUUUAAAAAAUGUUAAAUACGAUGAACAAAUACAUAAAAUAAUCAAAAUUAAUUUCGUAAAUAAAAUAAUUUAAAAACAAUAUUUUUUUUAAGACUAUUGAAUAAAUUAAAAACAAAUGAUACAAUUUUUAAAACAAAUAUAAUAAUAAAACUAUUGGAGAGAGCGAUUGAGUAAAAAUAAAGGUUAUCAUAAGCCUAAAACAAGAGUUAUGACAAUCAUUCUCAAAACAAGUCCGUCCAAAGAUGACACUUCCAGGCCAGGAGGUUGGAUUACCCAAACGAUAACUAUUAAUAAUUAAUAAAAUUAGGAAAGUUCUGGUUUCAUCAUUUAUAUAUAUAUAUAUAUAUAUAUAUAUAUAUUCAAUUUCUAAUUUUUCAAAAAACACAUAUGUUUUUUAAAAAUAUAUUAAACAAAUUAAAAUAAUAUUAAUAAUAAUUGAGAUAAGCUUAUCAAAUUAUAGUUGGAUUGCAAAUUAAAUUUAGAAAACCUAACAUAACCAAAUUAUGAAAAAAAAUUACGUAUAAAGAAAAGUGAAAAAUAAUUGCAUCAUAUUGUUCACACGAGGAAUUGAACUUUGUUAUAUUGAUGAAUAUUGUGAAUACAGUCUCUACUAUUUACUCAUUUGAUAUUUUCUCUCGAAUACAAUUUAAAACUUAGAACUUAUCGAUCUUUGGUAUUCAGGAUGUUGUUGUUGCAAGUCGAUUUGAACUAUUAUGGAAUUCAAUGAAAGUUUAAUUUUCAAAGUCAGUCUUUCAGAAGUUAGAUAUAAGUUGUUAUUCGAACUUGCACGUCUUCAGAACUUUAAUUAUUCAUUCAAAGAAAGACCUACUCAAAUGAAUGACAAAGAUCUCUAUUUAUAGAUAAAUUUUUGGGCUUUAGGUGGGCUUUGGCUUAUUUGCUUGUUGAGCUUUGACUUUAACCAAUUUGUCUGUUGGACUUUAGCUUGAGCCCAUUUGCCUUAUUGGGUUGGAUUUGGGCUUGGACCCAUUUGCUUUAUUGGACUUGAGUCCAUCUGUUUGUUGAGUUUGGACUUGGCUAAUCUGCUUAUUGAACUUGAAUUGAGUUGCAUUGGGUAAACUUAAUUAUCAAAAUCCAAUAAAAUAUAAUUAUGAAAUAUUUGUUGUGAUGAUGUGGCAGAAUUUAAUUGGCCGAAAUUUAUUGCUCAACACCUACCAAAAAAUGGAUAGCUACACUUUUAGUUAUCCAUUUUGAUUGACUUAAAAUUUUAUUAUUAACGUAAAUAGUUUGAAUUGUCGUGUUUUAAAAAAUUAAAUUGUUUUAUAUCAUUUACAAAAGUUAUUUUUAAUUAUUAGUAUAAAAUUUUAUAUUAUUACAAAAUAUUUAUUUGUAAAAAUUAAAAUCCUAGUCAUUGUAUUGUUUUAAAGAAUAAAACAAUAUAUGUAUGAUAAAAGUAGGACAACAAUCUAUCACUCAAAGAAGUGUGACUUUACUAUAUUUGUGAUUUUUUUUGCUAACAAUUCUAAUUACACUUUUUCUUCUACUAAAACAAUGGGCUUUCUAUUUGGGCUCACUUUAAUUCAGCCCGCUCAUUAAAGAAGCAAAUAAAAAACCUAGCCCUAGUCACUAUACAAAUCCGAAUGAACUAGGGUUUCUUCAUUUUGUGAGCGAGUGUGAGAGAAAGUUCCUCCUGCCCCAAUCAUGCCGGCCGGCCAUGGACUUUGUGAUGGUCGGGCACCCCAAAUCAAUUACACAUUUUUUUAUAAAAAAUAAUCAAUACAUACAAUGGUAUUAUUAACUACUAAUUCUAAUUAAUUUAUAUUUCUUUAAUUGCCUUUAGUAAUUAAAUUAAUGUUUAAUAUAAAAUAUUUUUUUAUUUUAAGUGAUUAAAUAACUAACUAAUAUAGCAAUCUAUUGCAAUAAUACUAAACUUAUUAUACAAUCUCUCAUUUUAAUGUACGUAAAUCUCUCAUUUUAAUGUAUGUAGAAAUGUACGUAUGUAUAUACAUACAUAUACAUGUGUAUAACUUUAAAAGUAAGCAUUAUUGAAGUUUAUUUAAAACUAACGUUGUCAAGUACGAUUGAGUUGAUUAUUUUAACCAACUCAAUCCAGCUCAAGUUGAUAGAUGAAACCAUAGAGAAAAACAUUUUCUAUCGUACGAUGGGUUUUGGAAUAUGAUGAGAGAAAGUUUCAUUCUGUUUUGGACUUUGCUUUAUAUAUAUAAAUUAAAUGUGUGAUUUUCGGGAUGAAUUUUGUAGGUUGGGAACAAAAUUAUUAAAAAAAGAAUUCAUGUGAGAGUUGAGCACGUGCAGCCUUCUCGAUGCACCGAGGAAUUUCGCUUGAGGAAGGUGAAGAAUGACGAGCUGAAGGCUGAAGCCAAGGCCAAAGGCACAGUCAUCUGCACUAAGAGGCAACCGGAAGGCCCCAAACCAGGGUUCAUGGUUGAAGGAGCUUUAAUGGAAACUGUGACUCCCAUUCCCUACAAUGUGGUUAAUGAUCUCAAGGGUGGCUAUUGAAAUUUUAUCCUCUUUGAACUUUUGCCUUGUUUUGUAGUUUCAUUUUUGUUUGAUAUUUGAACUGCUUGAAUAGUACAAUUUUAUCAUAUUAUGCUUCUAAAUUUUGGAUACGAAACUUAUGGAAUUAAAUUGUUUCUUAGUUUCUAGUUUUGGCCAUUAGCAUAAGGAAGUGUAGUUUUAGCUUAUUAAAAGUAAAUUUUGUUGCCUUAGGUUAUUCUUUCCAUUGUUUUCAUAUAUUCAUAUUUCUUAAUCACCAUCUAAUUUCUUUCCAUUGUUUUCACAUAUUCAUAUUUCUUAAUCUGAUUAGCGUUUUUAUUUCAAUAACAAAGGAGAGUUUUCCAAACUUUGAUAUUACCCAUGAUAGAGAAUGUUUUGAGUUGGAAUUAGGGCAAAUUAUAGCCUAAAUUAAAUGUUUACAAACAUUAGUCAUUUUAUCACUAAAAUUUCUUUGGACUUCAUUUGAUAUGUCAAUUUGUUUGGUUUAUGUUUUCAAAUAAUUAUUGACAUGAAAUUAAAGUAUGGAUAUAUAUCAAAAUUACUUACAGUAAAUGAACGAAUCAAGGUUGAUGAGAGUUUUUGCAAUCAUCCUUCAUCAUUUAUGUAUUCUUUCAAUGACUUUGAUUCUGCCACAAUCUAUUUUGUUCUUCUAAUUCUUGAAUAGCUUGUCAAUCUCAUUGGCGUGCAUUUCUCGCUCAUGAGCUAAUGCAGUUGAGGAAGAACUAUCAAUGGCGUGUUAGAACUUUGGCCUUUGAGUAGCCUAGUCGUCUAUCCAAAAUUGGCUUUGCAUAUUCGUGGGUUGGGACUAGAUAACAAGUAUUUGAUUCUGCCAUAAAAUUUAAUUGAAUAAUAAGUAAAUUGUGUGUAAACAAAAUGUAAAAACAAAAUGAAGACAACAAGCAUAGCAGAAAACUUACACGAGCAUCUACUCUCUUACAUCUUCACUCGAUCAGUGAGCGCUACUAUUGUGACUGUAGGGCUGCUUUGCUAUAGUAGCCCUAUUCUUUGAUGAUUGUAGAUGUAAAUAAGAUAAAAAUGGAACAUUAAAGAACAUUAAAAAUAUAAACUUUCGUUUGAGAACAUUUGUAAGUUUUAAGUCAUUUAAAAUUGUCACAUAUCCAACACACGAUUCUUCAAUCGCGGGUGGGUUGGCUUGUGCCUAUUCAGGAUCACUAAACUUUUUUAAAUGACGAGGGUUCUGCCCCUAAACUCUUUUCCCUAAACUCUUUCUAGGUGGUGAGAACCUGAUGCUCAACUAACGGAUUAGGUGUUGGAUAUGUGAAAUCCUCGAAAAAUUGCUACAAAAGGAAAGUAUAUUAAGAUUAUAUAUAUGUACGCGAUAGGUCAUUAACUUAUAUGAACGCUUAAUUUUAAAACUUACUCGUAUAGAGUCCUUCACGAGUUCGAUGUAAUAUGGGGUAACAUCGGUCCACUUAAGAAAGCAAUCAGGAAAAGUGUCUAGCGUUAGCACAACGCGAGCCAAUGGUACAACUGAAGCGAACAGUGUGUGGAAAGAUCAACUUAUCUUCCAGUGUAUGGAAAGAUCAACUUAUCUUGUCUUGGAACGAUCAAUAUGAGGAUCUUCCCAUUUUGUGCAACAUAUCACCACCUCCUCUUCUACACCACCACUAUUUAAUGGCAUGCCAUUCUCAAAACCUUUCUUUGCCGUUUGUUGUUCAUGUUCAAUCGUUGCUUGUAAAUCGUGCAACAUCCCCAACUUUUUCACUGUCUUCAUAAAAUAGAUUACUACUAUUUGAUUAAUGGAAAUGAUCAUUACUAGGUGUUUCAUCUAAUCUUUCUAUACCUUUAUAUAUACAAGUUGACUGAGACUCCAUAAUACACCAAUAUGUGUAGGAGAGGCAUAUUCUAUUCGUUAAUAAAUGUCUGUCCAUACCCUCUAAUUAAAGGCUCUCCAUGCAUGAUGGCGUCAGGAGAAGUUUGCAUCUUUUUUAAAUUUUAAACUUCUCUCAAUGUCGCUAUGCAUGUCAUGGAGAGUUCCCCUUUAAAAUUUCUUUUCUUAUUUUUUUCCUCAGACGUGUCUCUCUCCCUUAAGGUUCACCACCACUUGUUGUCUAUUAUCUGUCGCUUGCUGUCGCAGUCGACACUUGUGAGCUAUCCUUCGUCCCUCGUCGGUAAAUGUUUGUUUCGUUUUUUCUUCGUUUUGGUUUGAGUUUGAGAAAAAAAAAACACUAAAAAGGUAUGUUAUUUUAUUUUAUUGUGAAAGCCUUCUUUUAUAGUGUUCAUCUUUGCCAAUUUUACAUUAUGCAAAAAGAAGGUUUAUGAGAUAUUUUUUUUUAUUUAAUAAUUAUUUUUAAUUAUUAAUUAAGAAAAAAUAGCUAAAUACUCACAUUUGAGUGAAUUGUCAGAGAAUUUAAAUGAAGGUAAGAAUGACAAUCCAAUGAUAAAAUUUAACCUUCCAAAUUUAGUGAGUACUUGAACUUGUCUAACAAUCGUUAAAUUACACUUCUAGAACCUCAAAACUAUUUUGAAAAUUAUCGAAACACUAAUUUUUUUUUAAAAAAAAUGACUUAAUUUUUCUAUCAAAUACUUAAAAAUAUAUUUAAAAGACAGUAUUGUGUUUCAAUUUAAAUUAAAAUUAAACUCUACACCAUGAUAAUAAUUUUUUUGACCAUUUUUAUUUUCUAGAGGAAAAACUACAAAAAUAGUUAUAAAUGUAGCCAUUAGAUUUAAAAUAAUUAAAUUUUUAAUAAUAUAAUUUUUAAAAAUAUAACAUAAUAUGUUAAAUUCGAAAUGAUAGUAAUCAAAUAUUAGUCACUAUAUUUAUGAUUUUUUAAAAAUAUAGUUAUAUGACUAUUCGUAAAUUUGCUAACAGAUUACAUUUUGUGCUUUCUAUCUGGGCCCAGUUUAAUUUAUCCGGCCCAUUAAAGAAGCCAAUAAAAAACCUAGCCCUGGGAAUUAGGGUUUCUUCAUUUUGUGAGAGAGUGUGAGAGAAAGUUCCUGCUCCAAUCAUGCCGGCCGGCCAUGGACUUCGAUCACGUACCAGAGACCUCUUCGCCAGGCCUUUCAGGAAGAAGGGUUACAUUGCUUUGACUACCUACUUGAGGACGUACAAAAUCGGUGAUUAUGUGGAUAUCAAGGUGAACGGCGCCGUCCACAAGGGUAUGCCUCAUAAAUUUUACCAUGGUCGCACAGGUCAGGUAUGGAAUGUCACAAAGCGCGCCAUCGGUGUCGAGAUCAACAAGCAGGUUCGGGAUUCUUUUUUAAAAUCUGUUAUAGUUUUUAGAAUGUAUGUGAAUCUGGUGAUUUAGGGUAAUAGAUCGUGUUUGGUUUUGAUAGAAUCUUAAUUAGUUUUCGGACUCUGUUUUUCUUAUUAAACUUGUGAAUCUUAAUGUAUGUUCUAGUUUGAUGGGUUCUGGAAUCUGCUUUUUUUUUUUUUAAGUAUUAAACUUGUGAUUUUCGGAAUGAAUUUUUUGUAGGUCGGGAACAGAAUUAUUAAGAAAAGAAUUCAUGUGAGAGUGGAGCACAUGCAGCCUUCUCGAUGCACCGAGGAAUUUCGCUUGAGGAAGGUGAAGAAUGACGAGCUGAAGGCUGAAGCCAAGGCCAAAGGCACAGUCAUCUGCACUAAGAGGCAACCGGAAGGCCCCAAACCAGGGUUCAUGGUUGAAGGAGCUCUAAUGGAGACUGUGACUCCCAUUCCAUACGAUGUGGUUAAUGAUCUUAAAGGUGGCUAUUAGAAUUUUCACCUAUCUGAACUUUUGCUUUGCCUUGUUUUGUGAGUCUUAUUUUUGUUUGAUCUUUGCUGCGCAACUGCUCUAAUGGUACUGGCGUAGGUGGAUGGGUCCUUUGUGGUUCGACUUCUAAAGGAAAACAACAAAAGAGUAAUAGGAAAUAUAGUAAAAUUAUUUUUAAAAAGAUAUAGAGUUAUUUGUUCUCACUUUAGAGGUUCUUCAGUUAUUUAUCACUAUUUCAUUAUUAGAGAAGCAAACAAGAAAGACAUUGACUUGGAAACGUAUAAAUCUUUGUUGAAACGUUUGAUUUACUUCAAGAAAUAAAAUAAUAGAAUAGAAUAUCAAUUCAUCUUUUAUGUCAAUGUUAAACUUGGAAAAAAUAUGAAAAUAUGAUAAAAAUAUUGUGAUGUUGAUGGAGAUUUAAUAAUAUGUCACCUAACUCCUUUUGAAAUUCAAGAAGUAAACAAAGACUAAGCGUGAAUUAAAAUUAGGAUAUGCAUUUUUAUCGAUUUUUUUAAAAAUAAUAAGUAAAAUGCUACUUUUUCCAACUACUCUAUGGUAACAUUUAAAACAAUUUUAUGUUUUAAUUUUCAUAAUUAUGAAAGGCAUCAAACAAAUAAUUUAUUUAUCCUUCUUCCAUUGUAUAUUAACCAAUUUAGUCGAUUUGGAUGUAAAUUAUACGUAGGUAGGAUGCUCUAUGUUUCAAAUACUUAGUCUUUUACUCAAUUAUUUAUUAAGAGCAAUAUAUUAAUACAUUAACGAUGAAUUGAAAUGAUAAAUUUAGAAACAUUUUUUUUAAUACAAAUUGGAUCUAAGAUCUAGAACACAAAAUUUCUUGAUCUUCAAUCCACAUAUUGCAAUUGAAUUAAGCUCUUCAAAAUUUAGAAAAUCAUAUAUUUUUAAACCUCUCUUGAGUAAUUCACACUAAGAAAACCACAAAUUUGCAAAGGAGACUUGGAGGGAUUCCAAUAGUUUAUAACAAACUUUUAUACAAAUUUGAAGCAAGGAGACUUAGGAUUCCAAUAGUUUAUAACAAACUUUUAAUAAUAUAAAGUUAAGAUUUGAAUUAAAAAUUAGCAGUGACUCGAUAAAUUUUAAAUAACUUUUGAAGAUCUAUAAAAUUAAAAAUGAAGAGUAUCGAUUUGGUUUUUAAAAGUUAAGAUUGUGUUUUUUUUAAAAAUUAUUUUUGUUUAAAAAUUUUGAUUAAGAAUAUGAGAACUUUUCUAAAAAUGUAAAAAGUAUAGUCUAUGAUUAAUUUUUUUUUUAGAAAUAGAAACUAAAAUAAAAAGUAAUUUAUUUUGGAAAAAUAAAAACAAAUUCUUUGAAAAACAAAUAUUUUUCUAAGGUCAAUGGAUCAAAAUUUGUGAUUAAAUCUUUUUUUUAGGUUAAAAGCCCUUUGAAAAUGAAUAGUCAAUUAUACCCCCGGAUCUUCCGUCGUCGUUGGGUUUAACUCAAUUUCCCGUUUCUCGUCAGAACUGCAAACUGAAGACGGAACCCGCGAAUUCGUUGCCGAACAAAGAUCUUCAGUGCGAGCUUCAGUCUAAACAUGGGUACUAGAGAAGUUUACGAACAUAAGCUAAGAAGAGGCAAUCUCUACCAUGAACCCACUAUGAAUCCAGGGCUCGGAUCGCCUCGUUGCCCUCGCUGUUUUUCUCUUCUUAAACCCGACCAUGUAUUUGUCUCUUCUUCUUCUUCUAUUAAGCACCUUCUACUACUUACGUUUUUUAGUUUUGGGAUUCAUGUUUGAGUUUUACUGUGUUUUGAUUCAGGAUAAAAGUGAAUGGGCCAUCAAUCCUGUUCUCCACUGUGUUACUGCUGUGGUGAGUUGCCAUCGUUCCGAUCUUCGAUUUUAUUUGCUUUGAGAACACAUAAUUUAAUGGGUGCUUCUAGGUUUUUUGAUCGUGUAGAGUUAUAAUUGAACUCUAUGUUGUGUUUGUUUAAUUGGUUCGGUCUUUAGUAGUUCAUGAACGUUUGUUGAUCGAUGAUUUAGGAGUUUAAUUCAAUUCAGUUCUUGCUAUUAGCAAUUGGAGUAUUCUAUCUAACUCAAUUCAUGGUUUUCAAGGGACGUAAAAAAUUGUAGGAAUGAAGUUCGUGGUUUUCUUUUGGAAAAAUCUUUAUUUCUUCGCUAAUUCAAGAAGAAGGUUUAUGAGAUAUUUUAUUCUUAUUUAAUAAUUUUUUUAAUUAUUAAUUAAGAAAAAAUAGCUAAAUACUCACCUUUGAGUGAAUUGUGAGAGAAUUUAAAUGAAGGUAAGAAUGACAAUCCAAUGAUAAAAUUUAACCUUCCAAAUUUAGUGAGUACUUGAACUUGUCUAACAAUCGUUAACUUACACUUCUAGAACCUGAAAACUAUUUUGAAAAUUAUCGAAACACUAAUUUUUUUUAUAAAAAUGACUUAAUUUUUCUAUCAAAUACUUAAAAAUAUAUUUAAAAACAGUAUUGUGUUUCAAUUAAAUUAAAAUUAAACUCUACACCAUGAUAAUAAUUUUUUUGACCAUUUUUAUUUUCUAGAGGAAAAACUACAAAAAUAGUUAUAAAUGUAGCCAUUAGAUUUAAAAUAAUUAAAUUUUAAUAAUAUAAUUUUUAAAAAUAUAACAUAAUAUGUUAAAUUCGAAAUGAUAGUAAUCAAAUAUUAGUCACUAUAUUUAUGAUUUUUUAAAAAUAUAGUUAUAUGACUAUUCGUAAAUUUGCUAACAGAUUACAUUUUGUGCUUUCUAUCUGGGCCCAGUUUAAUUUAUCCGGCCCAUUAAAGAAGCCAAUAAAAAACCUAGCCCUGGGAAUUAGGGUUUCUUCAUUUUGUGAGAGAGUGUGAGAGAAAGUUCUUGCUCCAAUCAUGCCGGCCGGCCAUGGACUUCGAUCACGUACCAGAGACCUCUUCGCCAGGCCUUUCAGGAAGAAGGGUUACAUUGCUUUGACUACCUACUUGAGGACGUACAAAAUCGGUGAUUAUGUGGAUAUCAAGGUGAACGGCGCCGUCCACAAGGGUAUGCCUCAUAAAUUUUACCAUGGUCGCACAGGUCAGGUAUGGAAUGUCACAAAGCGCGCCAUCGGUGUCGAGAUCAACAAACAGGUUCGGGAUUCUUUUUUAAAAUCUGUUAUAGUUUUUAGAAUGUAUAUGAAUCUGGUGAUUUAGGGUAAUAGAUUGUGUUUGGUUUUGAUAGAAUCUUAAUUAGUUUUCGGACUCUGUUUUUCUUAUUAAACUUGUGAAUCUUACUGUAUGUUCUAGUUUGAUGGGUUCUGGAAUCUGCUUUUUUUUUUUUAAGUAUUAAACUUGUGAUUUUCGGAAUGAAUUUUUUGUAGGUCGGGAACAGAAUUAUUAAGAAAAGAAUUCAUGUGAGAGUGGAGCACGUGCAGCCUUCUCGAUGCACGGAGGAAUUUCGCUUGAGGAAGGUGAAGAAUGAUGAGCUGAAGGCUGAAGCCAAGGCCAAAGGCGCAGUCAUCUGCACCAAGAGGCAACCGGAAGGCCCCAAGCCAGGGUUCAUGGUUGAAGGAGCUCUGAUGGAGACUGUGACUCCCAUUCCAUACGAUGUGGUUAAUGAUCUCAAAGGUGGCUAUUAGAAUUUUCAUCUCUCUGAACUUCUGCCUUGUUUUGUUUUGUGAGUCUUAUUUUUGUUUGAUCUUUGCAACUGCUCUAAUGGUACAAUUUUCUCAGAUUAUGCUUCUAAAUUUUGGAAACGGAACUUGUAGAAUUGAAUUGUUUCUUAGUUUCUAGUUUUCGUCACAGUGUAGUUUUAGCUUAUUCAAAGAUGUUCUUGUUUCCAUUAUUUCCAUUGAACCCAUAUUUCUUAAACUAACUAAACUUUCAAUUCUUAAUCACCAUCCAAUUUUGAUAACAAAAAGAGUUUUUAAAACUAAUUUGAGUGUCAAACAUUCUUACUUUUUUGAUAUUACUCAUGACAGAAUGUUUAUCACUGAAAUUUAUUUGAUAUGUCAAUCAAUUGUGUUUUGGUUGCUUAUUGUUUGGUUCAUGUUCCCAAAUAUUGUUAUCGGUGAAUAAAACUACGAGGAGUUCGCUUGAGUAUAUGAUAGUAAACUAAUGAUUUUUAGUGAAAAAGUGGAGUAUUAAGGUUGGUAACUCUCGAACAUCCUUUGACCAUUAUAAUAAGUUCAUUGUUGUAGAUUUUAUCCAAUUGUAAUAUGUUACACCAUUUAUAAUUGUAUGGAACAGAUGUUCUUGAUUGAUUAUAUUUGAGAGAACCUUAAUAUGUAUGUGGAAUUUUUAAUUGUUUUAUUUAUGUUUUAUAAAUAAGGUUCAUUUCGUAAUCAACUAUCAAAUAAUUUGGAAUUUUAAAACCUACCCUUUUGAAAGUGUUAUUUUAUUUUUGUGUCAAAUUUAAUAACAUUUUCGUUAUUGAGAUAGAGAUUUGAAUUCUAACUAGUUCUUGUAGUUUUAUUUGCCAUAAAUUGCCGACACACAUGGUGGUGACUGUAAUAUCACAAAAUUCAUAACCAUUCAGGCCAUUGGCAUGUAGAAAAUUGAUUGUCCUGUAAGUUUAUGUGAUUUUUAAAUGAUGAUGUGAUUUCUCCAUUUAAGUUAGUAGCACAAAAAUUUGGGAAUUUUCAAUCUGUAAUUAUGAUCGGCUCGAGUUAUUGACUCUCUUUUGAAUAUGUUGGCUAGUUUUAAUCUUCUGUUUCAAAAUGAUUGAACGGUCUUUGUAUGUCUCAUAUUCCAAAGAUCAAACAUUUUAUAUGAUAAAAUUGGCUAGAAAUAGUGAAGGGUUUUUCGAUUUUCAAGUGUAUUCAUUGGAGUUUUGUCAUAGUAAUUUAGCUUCGAAAAAACUCAUUCAAGUGGUUAAAAAUGUGAUUGGACAUUCGAUUCUGCAUAUGAGAGUUUGAAAGAAAAUGUCGGUGCAGACUAAUUAGUGAUGUAUGGUAUAUGCCUUGGUUUCUAUCUAAUAUGAAGUUCGGAAGUUUGGUGAUUAUUAGAAAACACAUUCCCUUUUUUCGACUUUAAACACUUGUGGUCUUAGAUGAGAUUAGAAAUGUACAUCCUGAACUUUUGAAUAACUCUUAAUUCAAACUUUAUGGUGAUAAUACUAAAUAGAAAUAGUAUGAUCACUUAAGUAAACAACAAUUACUCAUGACUCAUUCUUUUGUUUUGAUUUUGGUUGGGUUGUAUCCACACGGAUGUUCUUUAUAUUCCAUUAGUUAUAAAAGAUUGCUGCUCCAUACAAUUUUCCAUCAUGACCAAUAUGUCUUUAUAUUCCAUUAGUUAUAAAAGAUUGCUGCUCCAUACAAUUUUCCAUCAUGACCAAUAAAUAAUGGUGAUCGGAACGAUAAUUAAAAUAAUAGAAAAACUAAAAUAGAAUAAAGUUUAGAUACCAAUCUAUAAAUUUAAAUCUAUUAUUUUAAUUUAAAUUUGUGAACCACCUCAAACAAUAUUUUGAACUUAAGCCUAAGGUUCACUUUAAUAUAUGGUCACCACAUAAACUUUAUUAAAGAAAAGAGAGGAAAAAGGAAAAAUUCCCAAAUACUUUUUUCCAAAAAAAAAGAAGAAGAAGAGGGAAAAUCCUUGUUUUAGUAGUGAAAGAACAUAGACGUUAUACUCCACUACGGCAAUCGCCGGAGCUGAAAUUCAGGGCAUGAGUCUUCGCCAGAGCAUACCCAGCAAAUCGGAAAAGCCCGCCGCCGCCGACCACUGGCAUCAUCUCUCACGGCGGACAUAAUCGUAUUCCGCCCCAAGAUGCUCAAAUAACUCCCAUUAUAUUUCCCUUCCACAAACGGCGAAAUUCAUACCAUUAAGAGCCCAAAUUCCGUUUUCGACGCCCCCGCGUAAAAUCCUUGAGCUUUUCCCAGCAAUUUGACCCAAUUUCCGGCCGUUCAGUCAGCGGAUCAUCCGUCAUCACCACAGCGCCAAACAGAGUCCGUGAGGCAUUGGACGACGGCGUGGAACGACAAUCAGCGCCGUGGGUUCCGGCGCGCUGACAUGUCAUGGAAGUAAAAGUGGAGAUGACUCAGCUUCUCCGCCGCGAAUGCCGAGCUUUUCCGGUGACAGAACGGUGUCGGAUGCGGCGAGGAGGGAGGUAAGGAAGAGAGAGAAAAAAGUGGCAGCUGCGACGGCGGUGGAGGGCAUGGGGAUGAGAAUUGGAGCCAUGGGAGUGGAGGAAUUUGAAAGUAUUUAAAACGGUGGAAUUUCAUUAAUAAUGAAUUGUGUUUGAUAUAAACGGCGAGAAGAAAGUAAAAGGUAUUGCGUAGGUGGAUGGGUCCUUUGUGGUUCGACUUCUAAAGGAAAACAACAAAAAGAAAUAAUAGGAUUUUUUAUAUUUACAAAAUAUAUUAAAAUUAUUUUAAAAGAUAUAGAGUUAUUUGUUCUCAGUUCUUCAUUUAUUUAUCACUAUUUCAUUAUAGAAGCAAACAGAAAGACAUUGCCUUCGAAACUUAUAAAUCUUUGUUGAAACGUUUGAUUUACUUCAAGAAAUAAAAUGCCUUCUUAUUGAAAUUUUCUAAUUCUACUUAGUAACUUUAAAAACUAAACUUAUUUCUCUCCUUUGCACAAACAUGAUUUUGAUUUCUAAAUUUUUUAUUUUAUGUUUUACUAUGAUAUAAUAGAAUAUCAAUUCAUCUUUUAUGUCAAUGUUAAACUUGGAAAAAAUAUGAAAAUAUGAUAAAAAUAUUGUGAUGUUGAUGGAGAUUUAAUAAUAUGUCACCUAGCUUCUUUUGAAAUUCAAGAAGUAAACAAACACGAAGCGUGAAUUAAAAUUAGGAUAUGCGUUUUUAUCAAUUUUUUGAAAUAAUAAAUAAAAUGCUACUUUUUCCAGCUACUCCAUUGGUAACAUUUAAAAACAAUUUUAUGUUUUAAUUUUCAUAAUUAUGAAAGGCAUCAAACAAAUAAUUUAUUUAUCCUUCUUCCAUUGUAUAUUAACCAAUUUGGUAGAUUUAGAUGUAAAUUAUACGUAGGUAGGAUGCUCUAUGUUUCAAAUACUUAGUCUUUUACUCAAUUAUUUAUUAAGAGCAAUGCAUUAAUACAUUAACGAUGAAUUGAAAUGAUAAAUUUAGAAACAAUUUUUAUAAUACAAAUUGGAUCUAAGAUCUAGAACACAAAAUUUCUUGAUCUUCAAUCACAUAUUGCAAUUGAUUAAGCUCUUCAAAAAUUUAAAAAAUCAUAUAUUUUUAAACCUCUCUUGAGUAAUUCACACUAAAAAAAACCAAGGAGACUUGGAGGGAUUCCAAUAGUUUAUAACAAACUUUUAUACAAAUUUGAAGCAAGGGAGACUUGGAGGAUUCCGAUAGUUUAUAACAAACUUUUAAUAAUAUAAAGUUAAGAUUUGAAUUAAAAAUGGCAGUAGACUCGAAAAAUCUUAAAUAACUUUUGAAGAUCUAUAAAUUAAAAAUGAAGAGUAUCGAUUUGGUUUUUAAAAAUUAAGUUUAUAAAUACUACUUUUUAUUCGUAAAUUUAUUUAUUUAUCCAACUCAAAUUUAGGUAAGAUUGUGUUUUUUUAAAAUUUAUUUUGUUUAAAAUUUUGAUUAAGAAUAUGAGAACUUUUCUAAAAAUGUAAAAAGUAUACUCUAUGAUUAAUUUUUUCAGAAAUAGAAACUAAAAUAAAAAGUAAUUUAUUUUAGAAAAUAAAAACAAAUUAUUUGAAAAACAAAUAUUUUUCUGAGGUCAAUGGAUCAAAAUUUGUGAUUAAAUCUUUUUUUUAGGUUAAAAACCCUUUGAAAAUGAAUGGUCAAUUAUACCCCCGGAUCUUCGUCGUCGUUGGUUAACUCAAUUUCCCGUUCUCUCAGAACUGCAAACUGAAGACGGAACCGCGAAUUCGUUGCCGAACAAAGAUCUUCAGUGCGAGCUUCAGUCUAGACAUGGGUACUAGAGAAGUUUACGAACAGAAGCUAAGAAGAGGCAAUCUCUACCAUGAACCCACUAUGAAUCCAGGGCUCGGAUCGCCUCGUUGCCCUCGCUGUUUUUCUCUUCUUAAACCCGACCCUGUAUUUGUCUCUUCUUCUUCUUCUAUUAAGCACCUUCUACUACUUAGUUUUUAGUUUUGGGAUUCAUGUUUGAGUUUUACUGUGUUUUGAUUCAGGAUAAAAGUGAAUGGGCCAUCAAUCCUGUUCUCCACGGUGUUACUGCUGUGGUGAGUUGCCAUCGUUCCGAUCUUCGAUUUUAUUUGCUUUGAGAACACAUAAUUUAAUGGGUGCUUCUAGGUUUUUUGAUCGUGUAGAGUUAUAAUUGAACUCUAUGUUGUGUUUGUUUAAUUGGUUCGGUCUUGAGUAGUUCAUGAACGUUUGUUGAUCGAUGAUUUAGGAGUUUAAUUCAAUUCAGUUCUUGCUAUUAGCAAUUGGAGUAUUCUAUCUAACUCAAUUCAUGGUUUUCAAGGGACGUAAAAAAUUGUAGGAAUGAAGUUCGUGGUUUUCUUUUGGAAAAAUCUUUAUUUCUUCGCUAAUUCAAAAAGAAGGUUAUGAGAUAUUUUAUUCUUAUUUAAUAAUUUUUUUUAAUUAUUAAUUAAGAAAAAAUAGCUAAAUACUCACCUUUGAGUGAAUUGUCAGAGAAUUUAAAUGAAGGUAAGAAUGACAAUCCAAUGAUAAAAUUUAACCUUCCAAAUUUAGUGAGUACUUGAACUUGUCUAACAAUAGUUAAAUUAUAGAUCUAGAACCUAAAACUAUUUUGGAAAAUUAUCGAAACAUCAAUUUUUUUUUUAAAAUGACUUAAUUUUUGUAUCAAAUACUUAAAAAUAUAUUCAAAACACAGUAUUGUGUUUCAAUUAAAUUAAAAUUAAACUCUACACAUGAUAAUAAUUUUUUUGACCAUUUUUAUUUUCUGAGGAAAAACUACAAAAAUAGUUAUAAAUGUAGCCAUUAGAUUUAAAAUAAUUAAAUUUUAUAAUAAUAUAAUUUUUAAAAAUAUAACAUAAUAUGUUAAGUUCGAAAUGAUAGUAAUCAAAUAUUAGUCACUAUAUUUAUGAUUUUUUAAAAAUAUAGUUAUAUGACUAUUCGUAAAUUUGCUAACAGAUUACAUUUUGUGCUUUCUAUCUGGGCCCAGUUUAAUUUAUCCGGCCCAUUAAAGAAGCCAAUAAAAAACCUAGCCUCGAAUUAGGGUUUCUUCAUUUUGUGAGAGAGUGUGAGAGAAAGUUCUGCUCCAAUCAUGCCGGCCGGCCAUGGACUUCGAUCACGUACCAGAGACCUCUCGCCAGGCUUUCAGGAAGAAGGGUUACAUUGCUUUGACUACCUACUUGAGGACGUACAAAAUCGGUGAUUAUGUGGAUAUCAAGGUGAACGGCGCGUCCACAAGGGUAUGCCUCAUAAAUUUUACCAUGGUGCCACAGGUCAGGUAUGGAAUGUCACAAAGCGCGCCAUCGGUGUCGAGAUCAAACAACAGGUUCGGGAUUCUUUUUUAAAAUCUGUUAUAGUUUUUAGAAUGUAUAUGAAUCUGGUGAUUUAGGGUAAUAGAUUGUGUUUGGUUUUGAUAGAAUCUUAAUUAGUUUUCGGACUCUGUUUUUCUUAUUAAAACUUGUGAAUCUUAAUGUAUGUUCUAGUUUGAUGGGUUCUGGAAUCUGCUUUUUUUUUUUUUUUUAGUAUUAAACUUGUGAUUUUGGGAAUGAAUUUUUUGUAGGUCGGGAACAGAAUUAUUAAGAAAAGAAUUCAUGUGAGAGUGGAGCACGUGCAGCCUUCUCGAUGCACGGAGGAAUUUCGCUUGAGGAAGGUGAAGAAUGAUGAGCUGAAGGCUGAAGCCAAGGCCAAAGGCGCAGUCAUCUGCACCAAGAGGCAACCGGAAGGCCCCAAACCAGGGUUCAUGGUUGAAGGAGCUCUGAUGGAGACUGUGACUCCCAUUCCAUACGAUGUGGUUAAUGAUCUCAAAGGUGGCUAUUAGAAUUUUCAUCUCUUUGAACUUUUGCCUUGUUUUGUGAGUCUUAUUUUUGUUUGAUCUUUGCAACUGCUCUAAUGUACAAUUUCUCAGAUUAUGCUUCUAAAUUUUGGAAACAGAACUUAUAGAAUUGAAUUGUUUCUUAGUUUCUAGUUUUCGUCACCCUGUAGUUUUAGUUUAUUCAAAGAUGUUCUUGUUUCGAUUAUUUCCAUUGAACCAUAUUUCUUAAACUAACUAAUCUUUCUAUUCUUAAUCACCAUCCAAUUUUGAUAACAAAAAGAGUUUUUAAAACUAAUUUGAGUUUCAAACAUUCUUACUUUUUUGAUAUUACUAAUGACAGAAUGUUUAUCACUGAAAUUUAUUUGAUAUGUCAAUCAAUUGUGUUUUGGUUGCUUAUUGUUUGGUUUAUGUUCCCAAAUAUUGUUAUCGGUGAAUAAAACUACGAGGAGUUCGCUUGAGUAUAUGAUAGUAAACUAAUGAUUUUUAGUGAAAAAGUGGAGUAUUAAGGUUGGUAACUCUCGAACAUCCUUUGACCAUUAUAAUAAGUUCAUUGUUGUAGAUUUUAUCCAAUUGUAAUAUGUUACACCAUUUAUAAUUGUAUGGAACAGAUGUUCUUGAUUGAUUAUAUUUGAGAGAACCUUAAUAUGUAUGUGGAAUUUUAAUUGUUUUAUUUAUGUUUUAUAAAUAAGGUUCAUUUCGUAAUCAACUAUCAAUAUAAUUUGGAAUUUUAAAACCUACCCUUUUGAAAGUGUUAUUUUAUUUUUGUGUCAAAUUUAAUAACAUUUUCGUUAUUGAGAUAGAGAUUUGAAUUCUAACUAGUUCUUGUAGUUUUAUUUGCCAUAAAUUGCCGACACAUGUGGUGUGACUGUAAUAUCACAAAAUUCAUAACCAUUCAGGCCAUUGGCAUGUAGAAAAUUGAUUGUCCUGUAAGUUAUGUGAUUUUUAAAUGAUGAUGUGAUUUCUCCAUUUAAGUUAGUAGCACAAAAAUUUGGGAAUUUUCAAUCUGUAAUUAUGAUCGGCUCGAGUUAUUGACUCUCUUUUGAAUAUGUUGGCUAGUUUUAAUCUUCUGUUUCAAAAUGAUUGAACGGUCUUUGUAUGUCUCAUAUUCAAAGAUCAAACAUUUUAUAUGAUAAAUUGCUAGAAAUAGUGAAGGGUUUUUCGAUUUUCAAGUGUAUUCAUUGGAGUUUUGUCAUAGUAAUUUAGCUUCGAAAAAACUCAUUCAAGUGGUUAAAAAUGUGAUUGGACAUUCGAUUCUGCAUAUGAGAGUUUUGAAAGAAAAUGUCGGUGCAGACUAAUUAGUGAUGUAUGGUAUGCCUUGGUUUCUAUCUAAUAUGAAGUUCGGAAGUUUGGUGAUUAUUAGAAAACACAUUCCCUUUUUUCGACUUUAAACACUUGUGGUCUUAGAUGAGAUUAGAAAUGUACAUCCUGAACUUUUGAAUAACUCUUAAUUCAAACUUUAUGGUGAUAAUACUAAAUAGAAAUAGUAUGAUCACUUUAAGUAACAACAAUUACUCAUGACUCAUUCUUUUUGUUUUGAUUUUGGUUGGGUUGUAUCCACACGGAUGUUCUUUAUAUUCCAUUAGUUAUAAAAGAUUGCUGCUCCAUACAAUUUUCCAUCAUGACCAUAUGUUCUUUAUAUUCCAUUAGUUAUAAAAGAUUGCUGCUCAUACAAUUUUCCAUCAUGACCAAUAAAUAAUGGUGAUCGGAACGAUAAUUAAAAUAAUAGAAAAACUAAAAUAGAAUAAAGUUUAGAUACCAAAUCUAUAAAUUUAAAUUCUAUUAUUUAAUUUAAAUUUUGUGAACCACUCAAACAAUAUUUUGAACUUAAGCCUAAGGUUCACUUUAAUAUUAUGGUCACCACAUAAACUUUAUUAAAGAAAAAGAGAGGAAAAAGGAAAAAUUCCCAAAUACUUUUUCUCAAAAAAAAGAAGAAGAAGAAGGGAAAAUCCUUUGUUUAGUAGUGAAAGACAUAGACGUUAUACUCCACUACGGCAUCGCCGAGCUGAAAUUCAGGGCAUGAGUCUUCGCCGAGCAUACCCACGAGCAAAUCGGAAAAGCCCGCCGCCGCCGACCACUGGCAUCUCUCUCACGGCGGACAUAAUCGUAUUCCGCCCAAGAUGCUCAAUAACUCCCAUUAUAUUUCCCUUCCACAAACGCGAAAUUCAUUACCAUUAAGAGCCCAAAUUCCGUUUUCGACGCCCCGCGUAAAAUCCUUGAGCUUUUCCCAGCAAUUUUGACCCAAUUUCCGGCCCGUUCAGUCAGCGGAUCAUCCGUCAUCACCACAGCGCCAAACAGAGUCCGUGAGGCAUUGGACGACGGCGGUGGAACGACAAUCAGCGCCGUGGGGUUCCGGCCGCUGACGAUGUCAUGAAGUAAAAGUGGAGAUGACUCAGCUUCUCCCGCCGCCGAAUGCCGAGCUUUUCCGGUGACAGAACGGUGUCGGAUGCGGCGAGGAGGGAGGUAAGGAAGAGAGAGAAAAAAGUGGCAGCUGCGACGGCGGUGAGGGCAUGGGGAUGAGAAUUGGAAGCCAUGGGAGUGGAGGAAUUUGAAAGUAUUUAAAACGGUGGAAUUUCAUUAAUAAUGAAUUGUGUUUGAUAUUAAACGGCGAGAAGAAAAGUAAAAGGUAUUGGCGUAGGUGGAUGGGUCCUUUGUGGUUCGACUUCUAAAGGAAACAACAAAAAGAAAUAAUAAUUUUAUAUUUACAAAAUAUAUUAAAAUUAUUUUUAAAAGAUAUAGAGUUAUUUGUUCUCAGUUCUUCAUUUAUUUAUCACUAUUUCAUUAUAGAAGCAAACAAGAAAGACAUUGCCUUCGAAACUUAUAAAUCUUUGUUGAAACGUUUGAUUUACUUCAAGAAAUAAAAUGCCUUCUUAUUGAAAUUUUCUAAUUCUACUUAGUAACUUUAAAAAACUAAACUUAUUUCUCUCCUUUGCACAACAUGAUUUUGAUUUUCUAAAUUUUUUAUUUUAUGUUUUACUAUGAUAUAAUAGAAUAUCAAUUCAUCUUUUAUGUCAAUGUUAAACUUGAAAAAUAUGAAAAAUUGAUAAAAUAUUGUGAUGUUGAUGGAGAUUAAUAAUAUGUCACCUAGCUUCUUUUGAAAUUCAAGAAGUAAACAAACACGAAGCCGCGUGAAUUAAAAUUAGGAUAUGCGUGUUGAAUAAGAAAUUUUGAGACCAAUCACAAGUUGCCACAUCAUUUAUUAAGUUAAUGAUGAAAAGUACAAAUAAUUAAAUUUGGACUAAUUAAAAUUGACACAUGCCCAAAUUAAAGAGUUAAAAUAAAUAAAUUGGUCAUUCUAAUAAUGCCACAUGUUUUCAUAUUAAUCGUUGAUUAAGUUAAUCAUUUUAGUUCAAUUAAGCCAAAAAAAAUAAGCUUAAUUGAGCCCAAAGACUAAAUAUAACUAAGUCCAUAUGGUUGAGCCCAUGGGUCUGGUCCAUGGACCAACCAAGUUCAAACCCAUAAAGCCCACCAGUGAACUCUAUAAAUAGAGGAAUUCUCCUCAUUUGCAGGGGUUGGAAAAUUUUGACUCUUGAAGAUCUAGAGAGAAUUCUUCCAAAAGCUAGAAGACUCCCUAACUUCUGAAGUUGACCACCCUCGAAGAUUGAAGCUGUUUUGAAGAUACAAACUUUCUUCCAAGACUCCAACUUCAAGACAUCACGUGCUCCGCUUCCUCAAAUCAAGCGUAAGCAUUCAACCAACUUGAAGAAAUCACGUGCUCCGCUUCUCCAAAUCAAGCGUAGACGUUCAACAAACUUCAAGACAUCACGUGCUCCGCUUCUCCAAAUCAAGCGUAGACGUUCAACAAACUUCAAGAACAUCACGUGCUCCGCUUCCUCAAAUCAAGCGUAAGCAUUCAACCAACUUGAAGAAAUCACGUGCUCCGCUUCUAAAUCAAGCGUAGACGUUCAACAAACUUCAAGAACAUCACGUGCUCCGCUUCUCCAAAUCAAGCGUAGACGUUCAACAAACUUCAAGAACAUCACGUGCUCCGCUUCCUCCAAAUCAAGCGUAGACAUACAGUUGAGAGAGAAUCAGAGGAUCAAAUUCUAGAGAUUGAACCGCAUCGCAUCAAAUCAACAAAAAUACAACAUCAACCAAGUUAAGUCCACGAAUUAAAUUUCUCCGGAAAUCUCGUGCGAACAAAUUGGCACGCCCAGUGGACCAUCUCUACCUCUCAUCUCUCUCUCAUCAUCUAGAUCUACAAGCAAAUCAAUGGCAUCAAAGAAAGCUGCAUCCAAAUCUUCAGCUGCAAGCGACACCUACACGGGACCUAUCACCCGUAGUCGUUCCAGGGGAUCAUCCAAGGGCAAGCCAAGGUUCCGCCAUCGCGCAGAGCAUCCUGAAGCAAUUGAUGGAAUCUCCUAAAGCUGGAAUUGUCAUCAAGGAAAAUCCUCUAUAUAACGAUUAUGAUUCUGCCUCUAGCAGGUCACUGAAAGAAGCACACCCAGAUGUGAUGUUGACGAUGAUCCGUCAGAUCGAGACUGCCAUGGCGGAGAUGGAGAGAAAAAUUAAUCUCCUGAUGAAGGUUGUUGAUGAACGAGACCACGAAAUUGCAGCUUUAAAGGAGCAGAUGCAGACUCGUGAAACUGCUGAAUCGAGUCAAACUCCUGUCGUUAAAGUUGAUGACAAAGGGAAGAACGUGUACAAGAAAAUCAGCCACAACAACAAUCAACUUCUGUGGCUUCUCUCUCGGUUCAACAAUUACAAGAUAUGAUCACAAGCUCCAUCAGAGCACAAUAUGGAGGCCCAUCUCAGACUUCUUUCAUGUACUCUAAACCAUACACCAAAAGAAUCGACAACUUGAGAAUGCCGCUUGGAUAUCAGCCUCCAAAAUUCCAGCAGUUUGACGGAAAGGGCAAUCCAAAACAGCACGUUGCUCACUUCGUCGAAACAUGUGAGAAUGCAGGAUCAAGAGGAGAUCAACUAGUCAGACAAUUUGUUCGAAGCUUGAAAGGAAAUGCUUUUGAAUGGUAUACUGAUCUGGAGCCAGAAAGCAUUGAGAGUUGGGAACAACUAGAAAAGGAGUUUCUCAAUCGCUUCUACAGCACCAGGCGUACUGUAAGCAUGAUGGAGCUUACAAAUACGAAACAAAGAAAGGGAGAACCAGUCAUCGACUACAUCAAUAGAUGGAGAGCUCUAAGUCUUGACUGUAAAGAUCGGCUCACCGAACUGUCGGCUGUAGAAAUGUGCACCCAAGGCAUGCACUGGGGACUCCUCUACAUUUUGCAGGGAAUAAAGCCCCGCACAUUUGAAGAACUGGCAACUCGAGCUCAUGAUAUGGAGUUGAGCAUCGCCAGUAGAGGAACUAAAGAUUUUCUUGUUCCUGAAGUAAAGAAAGAUAAGAAAGAGAUGAAAGGUGCUGAAAAGAUAGUGAAAAGCACCACGAAAGAAUCUAUGGUCGUAACAAACCCCGCUGAAAUUCUCCAAAGGAAAGGAAGCGAGGGUUGAAAAGAAGGAUGAUGGAAGCGAAAGGCGACGUCUGACUUUAAAAGAAAGGCAGGAAAAAGUUUACCCAUUUCCUGAUUCAGAUAUCGCUGACAUGCUAGAGCAACUACUAGAGAAGCAGCUGAUCCAGCUGCCAGAAUGUAAACGACCUGAGCAAGCAGGAAAGGUAGAUGAUCCCAAUUACUGCAAGUAUCAUCGGGUCAUCAGUCAUCCAGUAGAGAAAUGCUUCGUGCUGAAGGAGCUAAUUCUAAGGUUGGCUCGUGAGAAAAGGAUGAGCUAGAUUUGGAGGAAGUAGCUCAAACAAACCACGCUGAAGUGACGAUAAUGUCUGAGGCUUCUUUCGUCGAGAUUGAUUUUUGAGCAAAGGAAAAGCUUGGUCCAGUUCGGGACCUUUGAGCCUAUAGUUGUCCAUUCUUUCAGGAAAUCUCAUACGAGGAUCCUCAAGGAGAGAAAAGACCAAUUGAAGAAGACGAUGAAGGGUGGAUAGUGGUGACCCACCGAAAGAAAAGACAGUCGAUCCCGACCCAAAGAGAGUCUCGCUCUUACCAAAACUAUAGAAGAGGAAAUAAGACUCAAAAGAAUAAGAAAAAGAAGAAGACUCAUAAGCUUAAGCUCGUACAUAAUGAAGACAUGAAUUUCUCUCGACCUCAACGCUUAGUGACCUUGGCAGACUUCCUUCCAAAAAGCUUCCUUUGUGAUCAUCAGGAUGAAGACCCAGAAGUCGUUGCGUGUCAUGCUAUCAACACAACGGAGGAAGAAAUAAUCCCUCCAAGAUCACUAGAAGGAGAGGGAGUAUCAAAAGACCUUUCAAGGUUUAAUGUAGAGGAUCUAUUAUCACUUCCUCAAGAGACCAAAACCAUCCUUAUUGAUGCAUUGCUAAAUUCAAGAGCAUCAAGUUCGAGUACUCCGACUAUGACAUAUGAGAGUGGUUCUUAUUGUAUGUCUAUAGACUUCUCAGAUGAGGAUUUGUUGUUGGGAUCUAAACUUCAUAAUAGACCUUUGUAUGUUUCUGGAUACGUUCGAGAACAGAGAGUCGAUCGAAUCCUCAUUGAUAAUGGCUCAGCUGUCAACAUAAUGCCAAAGUCGACUAUGUGGCAAUUAGGCAUCUUGAUGGACGAGCUCUCAAAUAGCAAGCUAGUAAUUCAAGGUUUUAACCAAGGUAGCCAAAGAGCAAUAGGCAUGAUACGGUUAGAACUCAUAAUUGGCGACCUAAAGGCCAGUGCAUUGUUUCAUGUCAUAGACUCAAGGACUACUUACAAGUUGUUACUAGGGCGUCCUUGGAUUCAUGGAACGGAAACGGAGUAGUAACUUCAACACUGCAUCAGUGCUUCAAAUUUUAUCAGGACGGUGUAAAGAAGGUUGAAGCCGACUCUAAUCCAUUCUCAGAAGCUGAGUCUCACUUCGCAGAUGCAAAGUUUUAUUCAAAGAAUAAUAAUAUUUUAGAAGUUUUGCCUGCAGAAACCCCUCUUACAAAAGGAGAAGAUAAUUCACAACUGAAAUCACUCGCAACCACAGAACCACAUGAAAGUGCGAGAACCUUUAACUCUGGAAAGGGUGAAACAUACACUCGCAACACAAAGGGUAUGAUCUUGAAGAAUGAAAAUGCUGCAAACACACCAGUUUUGCGUUAUGUCCCUCUGUCAAGGCGCAAGAAAGGCGAAUCACCAUUCAUGGAGUCUCCAAAAGGUUUGAAAGUUGUUGGGACAUCGAAAUCAUAAAAGAAAGCUUCACUACACCACUAACUAAGAUAGCGAAGCAGGAGGUAAAGGUAGAUCUGGUGGAAGCAAACUUGCCCCAAAGGCGAACGAAAGACGGAUUCGACCCCAAGGCUUACAAAUUGAUGGCGAAACAGGUUAUGACUUCACAGCUCACACCGAGUUUAAAAAGCUUAAAUUCAUGACCGACCUGGCUCUCCUCAACUCAAAAGAAGCUUCUACGGGAAGGACAUUCUAUACCCGUGUCGAGAAAAGGACUCGGAUACAAGUCGCCAGAACCGAUCCGUAUAACUAAAAAGGGGAAGGAAAAAGUGGUUGACAUCAAUCAUAUAACUAUAGAGGAGGAUGACAAUACUGACGUAAAAGAAGGUGAUAAUCAGAGAAUCUCAGUAUUUGAUCGAAUUAGACCAUCUGUUGCACGUCCCGUAGUAUUUGAAAGGCUAAGCAUGACAGAGGCAGAAAGAGAAAGGCUCCAGUCAGUACCAAACCUUGAGAGACAUUCGGUCUUUCGAAGGCUAACUACGACUCCCAUAAAGGAAGAAAGCACAUGCCAUGCCUUGACAACUACAAGACCAUCAGCCUUUGAAAGGCUAGGUGUGUCUAAAAAGAAAAAUGUACAAGCACCCCGUGCUCCGAUUUUUAAUCAUCUCGGGGAUAAAGGAUCACACGACAACAUUGAUUCCAACAUAGAUACAAAGAAGAAGGAACCAAUGUCUCGUGUGAAAGUUUGGCGUCGAAUUAAGCAUACAGAUGUCGAUAAUUAUCGUAGUAAGAAGUUUCCUUGCGAGACAAAGGAAAAUGGAGAAAUUCAUAGCAACGUUCCUUCUCGCAUGAAAAGAAAAACUUUUGUUACUCUCAAUACAAGUCAAGGUUCGUUAAAGGUAAAAAGACAUGAUGUUAUACUAACGAAUCCUGAAAAAGAAGGGUCGGAACAAGGGAAGGUGAAACUUCAUGUCAUCACAUCACCAUUAUUGAGGAAUCAGAGACUGGAACUCAUGAAGAAGACGCAGAAAAUGCCCCACAAAGUUUAGAGGAUGGUGGUCAAUCUACUGUAGACGAGCUAAAAGAGGUGAACCUUGGUACAAUAGAGGAACCACGUCGACUUUCAUUAGUGCGUCCCUCUCUAAUGAAGAGGUGGAUAAAUAUAUGAGUUUGCUCACCGAAUACAGGGACAUCUUUGCGUGGUCAUACAAGGAGAUGCCAGGACUUGACCCAAAAGUAGCAGUCCAUCAUCUUGCAAUUAAACCCGGAUAUCGACCGAUUAAACAAGCACAACGACGUUUUCGACCGGAGCUUAUCCCUCAAAUCGAGGUGGAAGUCAACAAGUUGAUCGAAGCAGGAUUCAUUCGCGAGGUCAAAUAUCCAACGUGGAUAGCAAACAUUGUCCCUGUUAGAAAAAAAAAUGGACAACUUCGCGUUUGUGUAGACUUUCGCGAUCUGAAUAAUGCAUGCCCUAAAGAUGAUUUUCCCUUGCCCAUCACCGAAAUCAUGGUUGAUGCAACUACUGGACACGAGGCGUUGUCGUUUAUGGAUGGGUCGUCUGGAUAUAAUCAAAUACGGAUGGCCCUCUCAGAUGAAGAAAUGACAGCUUUCAGAACUCCAAAGGGAAUAUACUGUUACAAGGUGAUGCCCUUUGGAUUGAAAAAUGCCGGCGCUACUUAUCAACGUGCCAUGCAGAAAGUGUUUGAUGAUAUGUUGCACAGGUAUGUUGAAUGUUAUGUUGAUGAUCUUGUAGUCAAAACAAAGAGACGACAAGACCAUUUGAAGGAUCUAAAAGUCGUGUUUGAUCGCUUGCGAAAAUAUCAGCUAAGGAUGAACCCUCUCAAGUGUGCGUUUGGUGUAACUUCAGGAAAAUUUCUUGGCUUCAUUGUAAGGCAUCGAGGGAUCGAAAUAGACCAGUCCAAGAUUGAUGCCAUUCAGAAGAUGUCAAGACCUAAAAGUUUGCAUGACCUAAGAAGUCUCCAAGAGAUGGCUUACAUCCGAAGGUUCAUCUCUAACUUGGCCGGUCGGUGUCAACCUUUUCAAAAGUUGAUGAGAAAAGGAGAAAAUUUUGUGUGGGAUGAAGCUUGUCAGAACGCUUUUGAUAGCAUAAAGAAAUACUUGCUUACUCCCCAGUGCUGGGAGCUCCAGUACCUGACAAACCACUAAUAUUGUACAUUGCUGCACAAGAAAGGUCCUUAGGAGCAUUACUGGCACAAGAAGAGGUAAAGGGAAAGGAGCGUUCUCUCUACUAUCUAAGCAGAACAUUAAUUGGGGCUGAAGUUAACUAUUCUCCUAUCGAAAAGAUGUGUCUUGCACUUUUCUUUGCCAUUGAUAAGUUGAGGCAUUAUAUGCAGGCCUUCACGGUUCAUCUAGUGGCAAAAGCAGACCCUAUAAAGUAUGUUCUAUCCAGGCCAAUCAUCGCUGGACGCUUAGCCAAAUGGGCGGUUCUACUCCAACAAUAUGACAUUGUCUAUAUUCCCCAAAAGGCGAUAAAAGGACAAGCGCUAGCAGACUUUUUAGCAGACCACCCAAUUCCUUCGGAUUGGAAGUUAUGUGAUGACCUACCAGACGAUGAGGUUUUCUUCACAGAAGUUAUGGAACCUUGGACUAUGUACUUCGAUGGUGCAGCUCGAAGAAGUGGUGCGGGGGCAGGCAUUGUCCUCAUUUCUCCUGAGAAGCAUAUGUUGCCUUAUAGCUUUGCACUUUCCGAAUUGUGUUCAAACAAUGUGGCUGAAUAUCAGGCUUUGAUAAUUGGCCUUCAAAUAGCAUUAGAAAUCGGAGUGUCAUUCAUAGAGGUCUAUGGUGAUUCAAAAUUGAUAAUCAAUCAACUCUCGCUUCAAUAUGACGUGAAACAUGAAGACUUGAAGCCAUAUUUUGCUUAUGCUCGACAAUUGAUGGAAAAGUUUGAUAAUGUGAUGUUAGAACAUGUCCCUAGAGUAGAAAAUAAGAGAGCGGAUGCAUUGGCAAAUUUAGCCACGGCCUUGACCAUGCCAGAUGAUGUAACUCUGAACAUACCACUUUGUCAACGAUGGAUUAUACCCCAGUUAGGCCUGAAUGUCAGGAAGUGAACAUGGCAACAUCCUAUUUGAUUGAUGAAGAAGAUUGGCGUCAACCCAUCAUAGAGUAUCUUGAACAUGGAAAGCUUCCAAAGGAUUCUCGUCAUAAAAUUGAGAUACGAAGAAGGGCAGCACACUUCAUUUAUUACAAGGGAACUUUAUAUCGCCGUUCUCUUGAAGGGCUCUUCCUUCGAUGUCUCGGAAAGGAAGAUUCGGUAAAAGCUCUAAAGGAAGUACAUGCAGGUGUUUGUGGAGCACAUCAAUCGGGACCAAAGCUUCAAUUCCAGCUAAGAAGAAUGGGCUACUACUGGCCUAAGAUGAUCCAAGAUUCAAUAGACUAUGUGAAGAAGUGUGAGCCUUGUCAAUACCAUGCAAACUUCAUACACCAACCUCCAGAACCUCUUCAUCCAACUGUGGCUUCUUGGCCUUUUGAGGCUUGGGGACUCGAUCUGGUUGGCCCCAUUACACCAAAAUCAUCAGCAGGACAUUCUUAUAUCCUAGCAGCAACAGACUAUUUUUCAAGGUGGGCUGAGGCCAUUUCAUUGAGAGAAGCCAAGAAGGAGAACGUGGCAGACUUUAUUCGAACACACAUCAUCUAUCGAUACGGUAUUCCACAUCGAAUCGUGACGGAUAAUGGAAAGCAAUUCUCCAAUAGUAUGAUGGACAAGUUAUGUGAAAAAUUCAAAUUCAAGCAAUAUAAGUCAUCCAUGUACAACGCAGCUGCGAAUGGACUAGCAGAAGCAUUCAACAAAACAUUGUGUAAUCUUUUAAAGAAAAUUGUCUCCAAGUCAAAGAGGGAUUGGCAAGAAAAGAUCGGCGAGGCAUUAUGGGCUUAUCGACGACUCAUCGCACCCCUACAGGGGUUACACCAUAUUCGCUUGUUUACGGUGUGGAGGCUGUCCUUCCUCUCGAAAGGGAAAUUCCGUCACUAAGAAUGCAGUACAAGAGGGAUUGACUACCGAAAGAUAAGUGAAGUUACUCUUCAAGAAUUAGAAGCACUUGACGAAAAGCGUUAGAGGCUCAGCAAGCAUUGGAAUGUUAUAAGCGAGAAUGUCCAAGCUUUUGAUAAACACGUUAAACCUCGCUCCUUUCAAGUCGGUGAUCUAGUGCUUGCCGUAAGGAGACCGAUCAUCACAACAAGCAUACAGGAAAUAAGUUCACACCUAAAUGGAUGGACUUACAUUGUUAAAGAAGUUUAUACAAAUGGCGCAUACAAGAUCGUGAUCAAGACGGACUACGAAUUGGCCCAAUCAAUGUAAAUUUCUUAAAAAAAUUUAUGCUUAAUUUUGUUAAAAAAAAAAAAAAAGUUGAACUACGUUAUGACUUGAUCCCUAUGUUAUAAAGGGUACGUAGGCAGCUUAAGGAAAACCUUAAGCCCAGUCCAGCAAAAAAAAAGUUGAACUACGUUAUGACUUGAUCCCUAUUAUAAAGGGUACGUAGGCAGCUUAAGGAAAACCUUAAGCCAGUCCAGCAAAAAAAAAGUUGAACUACGUUAUGACUUGAUCCUAUGUUAUAAAGGGUACGUAGGCAGCUUAAGGAAAACCUUAAGCCCAGUCCAGCAAAAAAAAAUUGAACUACGUUAUGACUUGAUCCCUAUAUAUAAGGGUACGUAGGCAGCUUAAGGAAAACCUUAAGCCCAGUCCAGCAAAAAAAAAUUGAACUACGUUAUGACUUGAUCCCUAUUAUAAAGGGUACGUAGGCAGCUUAAGGAAAACCUUAAGCCCAGUCCAGCAAAAAAAAAUUGAACUACGUUAUGACUGAUCCCUAAUUACAAAGGUACGUAGGCAGCUUAAGGAAAACCUAAGCCCAGUCCAGCAAAAAAGAACUACGUUAGACUUGAUCCCUACUUAUAAAGGGUACGUAGCAACUUAAAGAAAACUUUAAGUUCAGUCCACCAUUAUAAAAAAAAAAAAAAAAAAAACCUUGAACUACGUCGUGAGUUAAUUCUUUUCUUCAAAGGGUGUUCAUCUCCACUAAGAAAUCAUAACAAAUUGGGGGCAAAUCCCUAAAUUCAAGAUGUUCAUCUUUAGUAACAAUGAGAUGAAAUAAAUUGAAGAUGUACAAACUCCGUGCAAAGACUAUGUACAAGUUGAGUGCAUGUAAAAAGAAAAAAAAAAAGAGAAUCUCAAAAUCAAGCUCAAAGGCAUCAUUAAUGAUCCCUCAAAUUCAAGCAUAAAAGUUUCAUUGAUGAUUCCUUAUAUUCAAGUUUGAAGGCUUCAUCGAUGCUGCAGCUCCAGCUCUUUGAGAGGAUAACGAUGGUACAACUUUGAUAGGACGACGAUCGGGCAGCUCUGCCUUCGCCUCUCCAAGAUGAAAACGACAGUGUAACAUCGUUUCUGCCUCUUGAAGAAGAUGCAUGCAAUGCUAAAGCUUUAACCUCUGCUUCAUCUUCAGCUUAUUGCAACGAAGAGGAUUCAUCUUCAUCUUCUUCUAAGUUUGCAAUCGAAGAUGAUUCAUCUUCAUCUGCUCUAAGGUUCGCAAGUGAGAGGAUUCAUCUUUGUCUUCCUCCAUGUGUUACAACCGAGAUGAUUCAUCUCAUCUUCACCUAGGAGUCGCAAUCAAGAAGAUUCAUUUUCAUCUUCUCUCAGGUGUAACAACCGAAGAUGAUUCAUCUUCAUCUGCUCUAAGGUGUCGCAAGUGAGAGGAUUCAUCUUUGUCUUCUCCUAUGUGUUGCAACCGAGAGGAUUCAUCUUCAUCUUCUCCUAAGAAUUGCAACUGAGAAGAUUCACCUUCAUCUUCUUCUAGGUGCUACAACCGAGAGGAUUCAUUUUCAUCUUCUCAUUGGAAUUGCAACUGAGAAGAUUCAUCUUCAUCUUCUCCUAAGAGUCGCAACGAGAAGAUUCACCUUCAUCUUCUUUCAGGUGUCGCAACCAAAGAAGAUUCAUCUUCAUCUUCUUAGGAGUUGCAACCAAAGAGAAUUCAUCUUCAUCUUCUUUCAAUAUCGUAGCCGGAAGGAUUCACCUUCAUCUUCUUCUAGGUGCUACAAUCAAAGAUGAUUCAUCUUCAUCUUCUCUUAUAUGUCAUAGCUGAGAAGAUUCAUCUUCAUCUUCUCCAGGUGCUGCAAUCGAAAAUGAUUCAUCUUCUCUCAUAUGUCAUACCGAGAGAUUCAUCUUCAUCUUCUCCCAUAUGUCAUAGCCGAGAGAUUUAUCUUCAUCUUCUCCCAGGUGCUGCAAUUGAAUAGGAUUCAUCUUCAUCUCCUCCCAUAUGUCAUAGUCGAGAGGAUUCAUCUUCAUCUUCUCUCAUAUGUCAUAGCUGAGAGGAUUCAUCUUCAUCUUCUUCCAAGUGCUGCAACUGAAGAGAAUUCAUCUUCAUCUCCUUUCAUAUGUCAUAGCCGAGAGGAUUCAUCUUCAUCUUCUCUCAUAUGUCAUAGCUGAGAGGAUUCAUCUUCAUCUUCUUCCAAGUGCUGCAACUGAAGAGAAUUCAUCUUCAUCUCCUCCCAUAUGUCAUAGCCGAGAGGAUUCAUCUUCAUCUUCUCCUAUAUGUCGUAGCUGAGAGUAUUCAUCUUUAUCAUCUAACAGGUGUCGCAACCCGGCCGAUGGAAUUCAUUUUCAUCAGCUCUAAGGUGUCGCAAGCUAGAUGAUUCAUCUUCAUCUUCUCCCUAGUACCACAACCAAGAAAGAAAGAAAAAAAAAGGAGAAGCAAGAAGAAGAAAGAAGAAAAUGAUGAAGAAGAAAGAAGGAAGAAGGAAAAAAAAAAAAAAAAAAAAAAAAAAAAAAAACAAAAACAAAAAGAAAGAAAAACAAAAAAAAAACAAAAGAAAGAAGAAGAAGAAAACAAAAAAAAGAAGCAAAAGAAGAAAAAACAAAAAGAAAGAAGAAUAAGAAGAAGAAGAAAAAAAAAAAACGAAGAAGCUCAAUUGGUGAUAACGAAGAUCGAAGCCCGACGAUGACAGAGUCGAUCUCUCCUACUAGGGCGAUAGAUCUGACGGCAAAAGCCCGAUCGUCCCUAGAAGAAGCUCAACAAAGUCAUUUAUGCAAACGAAGAUUGAAGCCCGACGAUGACAGAGUCGAUCUCUCCUACUAGGGCGAUAGAUCUGACGGCAAAAGCCCGAUCGUCCCUAGAAGAAGCUCAACAAAGUCAUUUCUGCAAACGAAGAUUGAAGCCCGACGAUGACAGAGUCGAUCUCUCCUACUAGGGCGAUAGAUCUGACGGCAAAAGCCCGAUCGUCCCUAGAAGAAGCUCAACAAAGUCAUUUCUGCAAACGAAGAUCGAAGCCCGACGAUGACAGAGUCGAUCUCUCCUACUAGGGCGAUAGAUCUGACGGCAAAAGCCCGAUCGUCCCUAGAAGAAGCUCAACAAAGUCAUUUCUGCAAACGAAGAUUGAAGCCCGACGAUGACAGAGUCGAUCUCUCCAACUAGGGCGAUAGAUCUGACGGCAAAAGCCCGAUCGUCCCUAGAAGAAGCUCAACAAAGUCAUUUCUGCAAACGAAGAUCGAAGCCCGACGAUGACAGAGUCGAUCUCUCCUACUAGGGCGAUAGAUCUGACGGCAGAAGCCCGAUCGUCCCUAGAAGAAGCUCGACAAAGUCAUUCCUGCAAAAAAAAAAAAAAAAAAAAACAAAACAAAAAUACAAAAAAAAAAAACAAACAAAAAAACAAAACAAAACAGAAAAAAAAAAACACACACACACACACAAAAAAAAAAAAAAAAAAAAAAGAGAAAGGGAGAAGAAAAGUUUUCUAUACCUUUCUGCCGAUUUGAUGAGGAAUAAGCGUUGGAUGAGGUAUAAGUGAGUAGGGUAUGAGUCUAUUUAUAAGCCCAACAAAUCCAAUUCCUAAAAGGAUUAGGAAUGAUAUUUAAUUAUUUUUUUAAAAAAAAACAAAUCCAAUUCCUAAAAGGAAUAGGAAUGAUUUUUAAAAAAUAUAUAUAUAUAAAGAAAAGAUAAUCCAAUUAUCUUAUUUUAUUUUAAAUUAUUUCUUUUUUUUGGAUAAAUCUCAAGUUUAACUUUUAUUGAGAUAUUUAAAAUAUUUAAAAAUUUCAACAUUUUUAAAAAUAUAUACAUAUAUAUAUAAAUAUUCUCAAUUUCAAAAUUCAAGUUAAAUUAACUUGCAUAUAUGACCUCCUUUUUAUCAUGAAUUUAAAUCGGAGCCAUAAAUCCAACUUUACCUAAGAUUGAGGACCUGAUUUUUUUAUCUCAAAUUAAAAUUGGUCAUUCCAAAUUCUUAUGCAUCCCCAAGAUAAAUUAAGGUACGGUAGAAACCUUAUCCUUAUUUCAAAAUUAAAAUUUUGGUUAUAUUCCAAAUUUUACUUUAAAAAAAAAAAAUCAUCAUAUUAAUUUUUUUUCCCCUCAAAUAAAAUUAAGUGGGAAAUAAAACUUUGAAUUUUUUUUAAGGUUUGGCCAUAUUCCAACCCUUAUUUUAAAUUUAAAUCAAACUCACGUACUAAAUUCAUAGUUUGAUUAAUUUGAUAUGCUGAAUUGAGUAAAAAAAAAAAAAAAAAAAGGCUCGUACUUUGACUUCAAAUUUAUCUUUUCCGAGAUUCAUUCACCCAUAUACGUGCAUAAAUCUCGAAAAGGGGCAUUUGUUGAAUAAGAAAUUUUGAGACCAAUCACAAGUUGCCACAUCAUUUAUUAAGUUAAUGAUGAAAAGUACAAAUAAUUAAAUUUGGGACUAAUUAAAAUUGACACAUGCCCCAAAUUAAAGAGUUAAAAUAAAUAAAUUGGUCAUUCUAAUAAUGCCACAUGUUUUCAUAUUAAUCGUUGGAUUAAGUUAAUCAUUUUAGUUCAAUUAAGCCAAAAAAAAUAAGCUUAAUUGAGCCCAAAGACUAAAUAUAACCUAAGUCCAUAUGGUUGAGCCCAUGGGUCUGGUCCAUGGACCAACCAAGUUCAAACCCAUAAAGCCCACCAGUGAACUCUAUAAAUAGAGGAAUUCUCCUCAUUUGCAGGGGUUGGAAAAUUUUGACUCUAGAAGAUCUAGAGAGAAUUCUUCCAAAAGCUAGAAGACUCCCUAACUUCUGAAGUUGACCACCCUCGAAGAUUGAAGCUGUUUUGAAGAUACAAACUUUCUUCCAAGACUCCAACUUCAAGAACAUCACGUGCUCCGCUUCCUCAAAUCAAGCGUAAGCAUUCAACCAACUUGAAGAACAUCACGUGCUCCGCUUCUCCAAAUCAAGCGUAGACGUUCAACAAACUUCAAGAACAUCACGUGCUCCGCUUCUCCAAAUCAAGCGUAGACGUUCAACAAACUUCAAGAACAUCACGUGCUCCGCUUCUCAAAUCAAGCGUAGAUUCAACAAACUUCAAGAACAUCACGUGCUCCGCUUCUCCAAAUCAAGCGUAGACGUUCAACAAACUUCAAGAACGUGCUCCGCUUCUCCAAAUCAAGCGUAGACGUUCAACAAACUUCAAGAACAUCACGUGCUCCGCUUCCUCCAAAUCAAGCGUAGACAUACAGUUGAGAGAGAAUCAGAGGAUCAAAUUCUAGAGAUUGAACCGCAUCGCAUCAAAUCAACAAAAAUACAACAUCAACCUAAGUUUAAGUCCACGAAUUAAAUUUCUCUGGAAAUCUCGUGCGAACAAUGCGUUUUUAUCAAUUUUUUGAAAUAAUAAAUAAAAUGCUACUUUUUCCAGCUACUCCAUUGGUAACAUUUAAAAACAAUUUUAUGUUUUAAUUUUCAUAAUUAUGAAAGGCAUCAAACAAAUAAUUUAUUAUCCUUCUUCCAUUGUAUAUUAACCAAUUUGGUAGAUUUAGAUGUAAAUUAUACGUAGGUAGGAUGCUCUAUGUUCAAAUACUUAGUCUUUACUCAAUUAUUUAUUAAGAGCAAUGCAUUAAUACAUUAACGAUGAAUUGAAAUGAUAAAUUUAGAAACAAUUUUAUAAUACAAAUUGGAUCUAAGAUCUAGAACACAAAAUUUCUUGAUCUUCAAUCCACAUAUUGCAAUUGAGUUAAGCUCUUCAAAAUUUAAAAAAUCAUAUAUUUUUUAAACCUCUCUUGAGUAAUUCACACUAAAAAAACCAAGGAGACUUGGAGGAUUCCAAUAGUUUAUAACAAACUUUUAUACAAAUUUGAAGCAAGGGAGACUUGGAGGAUUCCGAUAGUUUAUAACAAACUUUUAAUAAUAUAAAGUUAAGAUUUGAAUUAAAAAUGGGCAGUAGACUCGAAAAAUCUUAAAUAACUUUUGAAGAUCUAUAAGAUUAAAAAUGAAGAGUAUCGAUUUGGUUUUUAAAAAUUAAGUUUAUAAAUACUACUUUAUUCGUAAAUUUAUUUAUUUUAUCCAACUCAAAUUUAGGUAAGAUUGUGUUUUUUUAAAAAUUUAUUUUUGUUUAAAAUUUUGAUUAAGAAUAUGAGAACUUUUCUAAAAAUGUAAAAAGUAUACUCUAUGAUUAAUUUUUUCAGAAAUAGAAACUAAAAUAAAAAGUAAUUUAUUUUAGAAAAUAAAAACAAAUUAUUUGAAAAACAAAUAUUUUUCUGAGGUCAAUGAUCAAAAUUUGUGAUUAAAUCUUUUUUUUAGGUUAAAAACCCUUUGAAAAUGAAUGGUCAAUUAUACCCCCGGAUCUUCGUCGUCGUUGGGUUUAACUCAAUUUCCCGUUUCUCGUCAGAACUGCAAACUGAAGACGGAACCCGCGAAUUCGUUGCCGAACAAAGAUCUUCAGUGCGAGCUUCAGUCUAGACAUGGGUACUAGAGAAGUUUACGAACAGAAGCUAAGAAGAGGCAAUCUCUACCAUGAACCCACUAUGAAUCCAGGCUCGGAUCGCCUCGUUGCCCUCGCUGUUUUUCUCUUCUUAAACCCGACCCUGUAUUUGUCUCUUCUUCUUCUUCUAUUAAGCACCUUCUACUACUUAAGUUUUUUAGUUUUGGGAUUCAUGUUUGAGUUUUACUGUGUUUUGAUUCAGGAUAAAAGUGAAUGGGCCAUCAAUCCUGUUCUCCACGGUGUUACUGCUGUGGUGAGUUGCCAUCGUUCCGAUCUUCGAUUUUAUUUGCUUUGAGAACACAUAAUUUAAUGGUGCUUCUAGGUUUUUUGAUCGGUAGAGUUAUAAUUGAACUCUAUGUUGUGUUUGUUUAAUUGGUUCGUCUUGAGUAGUUCAUGAACGUUUGUUGAUCGAUGAUUUAAGAGUUUAAUUCAAUUCAGUUCUUGCUAUUAGCAAUUGGAGUAUUCUAUCUAACUCAAUUCAUGGUUUUCAAGGGACGUAAAAAAUUGUAGGAAUGAAGUUCGUGGUUUUCUUUUGGAAAAAUCUUUAUUUCUUCGCUAAUUCAAAAAGAAGGUUUAUGAGAUAUUUAUUCUUAUUUAAUAAUUUUUUUUAAUUAUUAAUUAAGAAAAAAUAGCUAAAUACUCACCUUUGAGUGAAUUGUCAGAGAAUUUAAAUGAAGGUAAGAAUGACAAUCCAAUGAUAAAAUUUAACCUUCCAAAUUUAGUGAGUACUUGAACUUGUCUAACAAUAGUUAAAUUAUAGAUCUAGAACCUAAAAACUAUUUGGAAAAUUAUCGAAACAUCAAUUUUUUUUUUAAAAUGACUUAAUUUUUGUAUCAAAUACUUAAAAAUAUAUUCAAAACACAGUAUUGUGUUUCAAUUAAAUUAAAAUUAAACUCUACACCAUGAUAAUAAUUUUUUUGACCAUUUUUAUUUUCUGAGGAAAAACUACAAAAAUAGUUAUAAAUGUAGCCAUUAGAUUUAAAAUAAUUAAGUUUAUAAUAAUAUAAUUUUUAAAAAUAUAACAUAAUAUGUUAAUUCGAAAUGAUAGUAAUCAAAUAUUAGUCACUAUAUUUAUGAUUUUUUAAAAAUAUAGUUAUAUGACUAUUCGUAAAUUUGCUAACAGAUUACAUUUUGUGCUUUCUAUCUGGGCCCAGUUUAAUUUAUCCGGCCCAUUAAAGAAGCCAAUAAAAAACCUAGCCCUCGAAUUAGGGUUUCUUCAUUUUGUGAGAGAGUGUGAGAGAAAGUUCCUGCUCCAAUCAUGCCGGCCGGCCAUGGACUUCGAUCACGUACCAGAGACCUCUUCGCCAGGCCUUUCAGGAAGAAGGGUUACAUUGCUUUGACUACCUACUUGAGGACGUACAAAAUCGGUGAUUAUGUGGAUAUCAAGGUGAACGGCGCCGUCCACAAGGGUAUGCCUCAUAAAUUUUACCAUGGUCGCACAGGUCAGGUAUGGAAUGUCACAAAGCGCGCCAUCGGUGUCGAGAUCAACAAACAGGUUCGGGAUUCUUUUUUAAAAUCUGUUAUAGUUUUUAGAAUGUAUAUGAAUCUGGUGAUUUAGGGUAAUAGAUUGUGUUUGGUUUUGAUAGAAUCUUAAUUAGUUUUCGGACUCUGUUUUUCUUAUUAAACUUGUGAAUCUUAAUGUAUGUUCUAGUUUGAUGGGUUCUGGAAUCUGCUUUUUUUUUUUUUAGUAUUAAACUUGUGAUUUUGGGAAUGAAUUUUUUGUAGGUCGGGAACAGAAUUAUUAAGAAAAGAAUUCAUGUGAGAGUGGAGCACGUGCAGCCUUCUCGAUGCACGGAGGAAUUUCGCUUGAGGAAGGUGAAGAAUGAUGAGCUGAAGGCUGAAGCCAAGGCCAAAGGCGCAGUCAUCUGCACCAAGAGGCAACCGGAAGGCCCCAAACCAGGGUUCAUGGUUGAAGGAGCUCUGAUGGAGACUGUGACUCCCAUUCCAUACGAUGUGGUUAAUGAUCUCAAAGGUGGCUAUUAGAAUUUUCAUCUCUUUGAACUUUUGCCUUGUUUUGUGAGUCUUAUUUUUGUUUGAUCUUUGCAACUGCUCUAAUGGUACAAUUUUCUCAGAUUAUGCUUCUAAAUUUUGGAAACAGAACUUAUAGAAUUGAAUUGUUUCUUAGUUUCUAGUUUUCGUCACCCUGUAGUUUUAGUUUAUUCAAAGAUGUUCUUGUUUCGAUUAUUUCCAUUGAACCCAUAUUUCUUAAACUAACUAAUCUUUCUAUUCUUAAUCACCAUCCAAUUUUGAUAACAAAAAGAGUUUUUAAAACUAAUUUGAGUUUCAAACAUUCUUACUUUUUUGAUAUUACUAAUGACAGAAUGUUUAUCACUGAAAUUUAUUUGAUAUGUCAAUCAAUUGUGUUUUGGUUGCUUAUUGUUUGGUUUAUGUUCCCAAAUAUUGUUAUCGGUGAAUAAAACUACGAGGAGUUCGCUUGAGUAUAUGAUAGUAAACUAAUGAUUUUUAGUGAAAAAGUGGAGUAUUAAGGUUGGUAACUCUCGAACAUCCUUUGACCAUUAUAAAAGUUCAUUGUUGUAGAUUUUAUCCAAUUGUAAUAUGUUACACCAUUUAUAAUUGUAUGGAACAGAUGUUCUUGAUUGAUUAUAUUUGAGAGAACCUUAAUAUGUAUGUGGAAUUUUUAAUUGUUUUAUUUAUGUUUUAUAAAUAAGGUUCAUUUCGUAAUCAACUAUCAAAUAAUUUGGAAUUUUAAAACCUACCCUUUUGAAAGUGUUAUUUUAUUUUUGUGUCAAAUUUAAUAACAUUUUCGUUAUUGAGAUAGAGAUUUGAAUUCUAACUAGUUCUUGUAGUUUUAUUUGCCAUAAAUUGCCGACACAUGUGGUGGUGACUGUAAUAUCACAAAAUUCAUAACCAUUCAGGCCAUUGGCAUGUAGAAAAUUGAUUGUCCUGUAAGUUAUGUGAUUUUUAAAUGAUGAUGUGAUUUCUCCAUUUAAGUUAGUAGCACAAAAAUUUGGGAAUUUUCAAUCUAUAAUUAUGAUCGGCUCGAGUUAUUGACUCUCUUUUGAAUAUGUUGGCUAGUUUCAAAAUGAUGGAACGGCCUUUGUAUGUCUCAUAUUCCAAAGAUCAAACAUUUGAUAUGAUAAAAUUGGCUAGAAAUAGUGAAGGGUUUUUUGAUUUUCAAGUGUAUUCAUUGGAGUUUUGUCAUUGUAAUAUUUAGCUUCGAAAAAACUCAAUCAAGUGGUUAAAAAAUGUGAUUGGACAUUUGCGAUUUUGCAUAUGAGAGUUUGAAAGAAAAUGUCGGUGCAGACUAAUUAGUGAUGUAUGGUGUGCCUUGGUUUCUACCUAAUAUGAAGUUUGGAAGUUGGGUGAUUAAAAUAUGAUAAAAAUAUUGUGAUGUUGAUGAAGAUUUAAUAAUAUAUCACAUAGCUCCUUUUGAAAUUCAAGAAGUAAACAAACACGAGACGUGAAUUAAAAUUAGGAUAUGCGUUUUUAUCAAUUUUUUGAAAUAAUAAAUAAAAUGCUACUUUUUCCAGCUACUCCAUGGUAACAUUUAAAAACAAUUUUAUGUUUUAAUUUUCAUAAUUAUGAAAGGCAUCAAAGAAAUAAUUUAUUUAUCCUUCUUCCAUUGUAUAUUAACCAAUUUAGUAGAUUUAGAUGUAAAUUAUACAUAGGUAGGAUGCUGUAUGUUUCAAAUUCUGAGUCUUUUACUCAAUUAUUUAUUAAGAGCAAUACAUUAAUACAUUAACGAUGAAUUGAAAUGAUAAAUUUAGAAACAUUUUUUUUUAAAUACAAAUUGGAUCGAAGACUUAGAACACAGAAUUUAUUGAUCUUCAAUCCACAUAUUGCAAUUGAGUUAAGCUCUUCAAAAUUUAAAAAUCAUAUAUUUUUUAAACCUCUCUUGAGUAAUUCACACUAAAAAAAACAAACAAGGAGACUUGGAGGGAUUCCAAUAGUUUAUAACAAACUUUUAUACAAAUUUGAAGCAAGGGAGACUUGGAGGAUUCCGAUAGUUUAUAACAAACUUUUAAUAAUAUAAAGUUAAGAUUUGAAUUAAAAAUGGCAGUAGACUCGAAAAAUCUUAAAUAACUUUUGAAGAUCUAUAAGAUUAAAAAUGAAGAGUAUCGAUUUGGUUUUUAAAAAUUAAGUUUAUAAAUACUACUUUUAUUCGUAAAUUUAUUUAUUUUAUCCAACUCAAAUUUAGGUAAGAUUGUGUUUUUUUAAAAAUUUAUUUUUGUUUAAAAAUUUUGAUUAAGAAUAUGAGAACUUUUCUAAAAAUGUAAAAAGUAUACUCUAUGAUUAAUUUUUUCAGAAAUAGAAACUAAAAUAAAAAGUAAUUUAUUUUAGAAAAAUAAAAACAAAUUCUUUGAAAAACAAAUAUUUUUCUGAGGUCAAUGGAUCAAAAUUUGUGAUUAAAUCUUUUUUUUAGGUUAAAAACCCUUUGAAAAUGAAUGGUCAAUUAUACCCCCGGAUCUUCGUCGUCGUUGGGUUUAACUCAAUUUCCCGUUUCUCGUCAGAACUGCAAACUGAAGACGGAACCCGCGAAUUCGUUGCCGAACAAAGAUCUUCAGUGCGAGCUUCAGUCUAGACAUGGGUACUAGAGAAGUUUACGAACAGAAGCUAAGAAGAGGCAAUCUCUACCAUGAACCCACUAUGAAUCCAGGGCUCGGAUCGCCUCGUUGCCCUCGCUGUUUUUCUCUUCUUAAACCCGACCCUGUAUUUGUCUCUUCUUCUUCUUCUAUUAAGCACCUUCUACUACUUAAGUUUUUUAGUUUUGGGAUUCAUGUUUGAGUUUUACUGUGUUUUGAUUCAGGAUAAAAGUGAAUGGGCCAUCAAUCCUGUUCUCCACGGUGUUACUGCUGUGGUGAGUUGCCAUCGUUCCGAUCUUCGAUUUUAUUUGCUUUGAGAACACAUAAUUUAAUGGGUGCUUCUAGGUUUUUUGAUCGUGUAGAGUUAUAAUUGAACUCUAUGUUGUGUUUGUUUAAUUGGUUCGGUCUUGAGUAGUUCAUGAACGUUUGUUGAUCGAUGAUUUAGGAGUUUAAUUCAAUUCAGUUCUUGCUAUUAGCAAUUGGAGUAUUCUAUCUAACUCAAUUCAUGGUUUUCAAGGGACGUAAAAAAUUGUAGGAAUGAAGUUCGUGGUUUUCUUUUGGAAAAAUCUUUAUUUGUUCGCUAAUUCAAUCUGUUUUAUUUGGUACUAUUUGAUAACCCUUUGGUUUUUUAUUUUUGAUUUUUUGAAAGUUAAGCUUAUGCGGUUGUUAUCUACUUCUUAGAAGUGUUUUCAAAACCAUGACAAGUUUUGAAAACUAAAAAAAAGAGUUGUUUUAGUUGUUGGUAGGCUAAGAAUUUAAAUGUUUAAAUGCGAAAAAUGAAAACAAUGGAAAGGAAGUUGUAAGAAAACCAGCUUAAUUUUCAAAACCCAAAAAUCAAAUAGUUACAAAACGGGGGCUCAGUUUCAAACUCCAAAGUAGUUUCAUGAUUUUUUUACUUUUACUUUCGAGUUUAUCCCAAUGAGGAGUUCCUUGAAAUUGCAAGUAAUGUAUGAUUCUGAGGAAUUCUUCUUCGGUUUAUUCCUUGAGCUGUGAGGUUCUUCUUUUUACAAUUUAUUACCUUUCAAAAUUUAACGUUCGGAUGUUUUUGUCAUAAUUAUUUUGGUUUCCAUGUCCCUUAAUCAUUCUUAUAUUGCCUUGUAAAACAGGCAGGAUCCGGCCUUGGUGGGUUACUGAGUGCAGUUCAUGCCUAUAAUACGGGUAAUCCUAUUAAACUUUCAAUAAUAUUUCUUUUAGUUUACACAAUUACUCAUCAUUUUCUCUGAUUACAGGGAUCCCACACCUCCAAAGUCAUGUGAAGGGACCAAAGUGGCUUCCUUUUGUAAUUGGGGUAUGCUUUAAUUGUGAUCUUUCUUUGUUUUGUGCUGAUAUUAAAUUAUGCAAUCCAUUUAGUAUUGUUGCAAAUGUCAAUGGAGUUGCUUACUUGAUUCUUCUGAGUAUUGUUCCAUCUACCAUUUAUGUGACUUCCACACUUAUCUCUUUGUUGACAGGUGCCCGCCCUAUUAUUGUGCUCAAGUGCUGGAGCUACAUUUGGAGGUAUGCUAGGAAAUAGUUUUUGCUUGUUCUCUGUUUUAAAAAAAGGUUGAUGUUAUGUUGGUAUGUGGUUUUUGUAUUUAUUUUAUAACAUAAUUUGGAUUACUGUAUUGAAAUACAUAUACAGAUGAAGGGAAGGAUUAGAACUAAAACCUGUGUACAAACAUGGAAAGAUUACCAAAAAAUUUUUCAGUGAGCGAUUAGCAAAUUAAUAGGAAAGAUCGAUAAAUCCUUCGAAUUAAAGUGGGAAAGAGCUACAUUCCUCCAUUUUUAUCCUGGCUCACAUAUCUUCUAUAAAAGUCUUGUUAUUUAUCUCAUUUUCUAUUACUGAAUGCUAGUGUCUAAGUUGUUAUAGCAGUGAACUUCUUAAAUUUUUUUAAAAAGAAAGUAAAAUAACAACAUGCAUCUCCACUUGAAAGCUAGAAGAGAAUCUUGGGAUUCCAUCACUCUAAUAUUAUUGGACCUUGGCUUCAUAAUGCUUUUCUGGAAUGGAUUUCCUUCUCUUCUCCUUGCGUCAGAGCUUGCUGAUUGACUUUCUGCUCAAAGGUGUCAAGUGUCUUUUAUUUAGCUCCCUCUUCAUGGAGUUGUACAAAGAAUUUUGGCACUGUAGUUUCUCAAGAAAAGUAUCUCUUCCUUUUGGAGCUCAGUACGAGAGUGUGAAUACCCAUGCUAUCAUGCAUUAAGGAACUCUUGCUUGUCCUUUUUUCCUUGUUGUGAUGUGUACCUUAGAUGGAAAACUUGAAGAUUUGAGCUGCACUUUUCUCUGCACUUUUCUCUGCUGCCAUUCUCCAACAGAUUUUGUGAUACUCUCGUACACUGGCCGUCGGCUUCUCUAUAGAGCCUUAAAGUUUCUUGGAUUUAUUUAGGCUUGGACUUCUUUCACCCAGUAGGGUGGGUUUACUGUAAAAGCUUUUGAGGUUGUUUCAUGCUUGCAUUCUGUCGGAAGUUAGAAUUUUGUUUGUUUGUUUGGUUCUAUUGAGUUCUUGCAUCCCUUGGUCUGUGGCAAAAGGAGUCCAGGAUCCUUUUCUUAGUUGAGGACUAAGAAGCUUUCUCAAGACGUGGAUAAAACAUAAAAUGUUUGUGUACAUGAUGGUCAGUUUCCGAAAAAGUAGGAACUAGACAAAUUGGGGAUACAUAUUUCUAUAAGAAUGUGAAUGUAUUAUUUACUUUGUAUAGAAGCUAGGGUUUCAUUGAGAAAACGAAUGAAUAUACAAGGUCAUAAGGAAAAGAAAAGCCAACAAAAAGAGCCUCAAAGAGGUUCAAAGAACUACAAAAAAUGAUUAAAAUCCUUAAGAAUAAAGCCUCGCUGGUAAUUUCAAAAGACCUUACCACCGAGGUCCAACCAAUAUGAAACCCAAUCUCUUUCUUUCAACUUGUCCGCCGACCUCUACUCCUAAAAAUUCUACUGACUCUACUCUGUCCGAACCCUCAAAUAACUUUAAAAAGAAAAAUCCCUUCUCCCUAAAAGGGACAAACACAAAAUCUCCUAUAUAUUUUUUUUUAUGUUUCUGAAAUGUUAAAGCCGGGUAGAUAAGCUGUCCAAGGAUAAAAGCGAAAUCUUCUAGCAACAACGUUCCAACUCUACUAAUGCUCAUCCCAAAGAUAAAAAACCAGUCUUGACUCCACCAAGUCAUAGAGAUAUGGAAAUUUAAUUGUAAAUGGUUCAGAGUCUAGCUAAGCCUUUUAUGUUCUCAUGUAAUUUUUUCACAAUAUCACCUUGGAAUAUUUAACAAAAAGUUUCUAUUUCCUUGUGAAAAUAAGUGGCGAAUCCAAACAAGCAUCCUCACAAAAAAUUUUCAUCUUUCCAUUGCUAAGCUUUAACCAUGAAUAAUAAGAUUACAUCAAGCCCUUUUAACUUUGCAAUAUUCCAAGGGCUCUUAGGGCUUCCCUUUUUUUUGUCAGUGACAAACCUCUCAUCCUCCUCCAAUGUAUGCUAGAAAGCAUUUUCCUAGAACUUCUCUUUUGUAAUAGAUGCAUUCUACUUUCAACUUCAAUUGAAUGCCUCCCUACAUGUGGUGCUUUGGGAUACACAUUCUAAAUUAUUUCACAAUGUAUGCAUAUAAAAUAAUAAUAACUAUUAUUGUUAUAAAAUUAUAUUUCCCUCGAUUGCUUAUUGGACUUCUGUUGGUUUUGGUUUUGGUUUUCAGCUUAUGUGCUAUCUAGUUUUGGUUUCGUUUUUGGAGCUAGUUUGUUAGGUUUUAUGUGUUUCCUUUGGUGUUUUAUCCACUUUGUACCUCAAUAGUUUUUCAUCUCCUAUUUUUUCACAACUUAUCUGUCCCCUGGAAUGUUAUGGAUUAGUCUCUUUUCAUUUUUAUCAAUGAAUAAUUAUAUUUCCUUUUCUCCAAAAAAAAAAAAAGAAAAAGAAAAAAGAAAAAUUAUAUAAUAUCUCUGUGAACUAUUGUCAGCUAUCCUUGUAUAUAAUUAAAUCUUUAUGUAUGGUUGUCAAUGCUGCAUAAACACCUUUUAGGAAGUGGGAGAUCUAUAUCCUUUUCUGGAAUAUCUAGAUAUUCUUGCUAGUUGCUUAGGCAGUGUGUAUGAUUUGGCACUGUGCUCUGUUAGAGUAUGACGAUUGAAGAUAUGGCAUAAUCGAGCCUCCUUUCUAUAACAAUUUCUUUUUAGUUUUCUAUUUUCUAAAGUUAUGCAUGCUUUCUCAACUGUUCCUUUAGUAUCUCUUUCAAAUCUCUUGAUAUCACACAUUUGAUUUUAUUAAAAAAAUUCGGAAUAAAACAAGCUGUUAAUAACGGCUUUUUAAAUUUUAAAAUUUGGCACAGAGUUAAAAACUAUUUCGGACAAGUAUAUAACGAAAGAAAGAAACACAUCAAUUAUAAACCUAAUAUUAAAAAGCAGAUAAAAAAAUGGUAAAAAAAGGGGUUAAUUUUAGAUAUUCAUUAUUCAAAAUUAAUUUGCAUAUCAGCAUCCACUAACCAUAGGUCUUAGUGUUGCUGAAGGUGAAUAUAAUUGUCUGUUGACAUACAAUCUGCAGGUUUUGCUCUUCCAAGAUUUACUCAACUCACUGUAACAUCCUACUAUGCCACCUCAAGUGCUUCCCAUUAUGGAGUUUCACUUCUCACUCGAAGAAUUGAAGACAAUCACACAUCCCGAACUUAGUAAGCAAGCACUCAGUGAUUUCACAGGUCGCAUAAUUUCAAGCAAGGAAUCAUCUUCUCUUUUCCUAUUCUUUUUUUUUUCCUCAUGGAAAUUUUGGAAAGUCAUAUUUGGCUGUAGAUUUAGUCAUUUAGAAUGUCUAAUUUAUUUUUGCUUUUGUGGAGACACCUACCAAUGUAUGUAAAUUGCAGAGUCUCUGUUUCGCAGUAUAAUAUGCAAAUAAUAACGCUAUUACGGUUGUGUGACUUUCAACUAACAAGGAAUAUUGUUGAGAAUUUUGUAUAACUUUGCUGAUAACAAUGAAAACUUCACAGCAGUAAUGUGAUAUUUGUAGUGUAGUAGUUUAUUGAAGGCAAUCCCUGCCCUUCUUGAUGUUUAUAGAAAACAAACACUUCCCCCAUUAGUUUUUAGGAUUUGUACUGAAAUAAGCAAGAGUAACUGGUAAUUUGGUUAAUGGUAAUCAAUGAAUUGCCAUAAGGUGGUUUCUCAUUUUUGCCCAAAAAAGGUUCUUACAUCCAACGUAGGACGUCUGCUCAUGCAAGUAGCUAUUGAAUUGCAUCAAGAAGGAACUACAUGAAGAAUGCCUUAAGAUUACAUAUAAGAACAAGGGACUGCCCAAAUUCUUCUCUGAUUCUAGAUGGAGAAUUAUGAUUGUAAUUUUAUAAAAGUUUGAAUUUCCCCUUUGCUGAUUGGCUUUUAGCAACACAAGCUAGCAGGAAAGAAACCUUAGGACUUUUGAAGACAAGUCCCCUCCUUCUGCUUCUUGGUAGUGCUCUAUCCACAAAACAUGUUUGUGUAAUCACAAUAUUUAUUUUAUGAUCAUUCCACUUUCAUUUUCUAGGUUUUCGGCAGGGUUCACUCUACUCUGGCCUUUAAGCUAUUCUUUUACAUAUUUGAGUGGAAUUAUUUCUGGCUUUCUUUUUCAAAAGAAGAUUGUAAUUUCAGAAUUUUACCUGUUGGUUUUAGUACCCUUUGAGCUAGCUUGCCUAGACUCUAGAUAAGAUAGUGCUAUAAUUGUUGUUAAACCCGGAACAUGAUGUUAUCUGUCUCUCUUCUAGAAUUAAAUUCCAUUGAGAAUCUGCGGUUCAGGAUUCAAAGCCUAAUCUCCUCUUUCCAUAUUUGCUGUGAAGGAAGGAAGGGCCUGGCUGGUUGGUUGUCUCCUUUCCAGCAAUCGAGGUACCUUAAAAUUCACAAAGUGCCACAGUAUCCACUCGUAAAUUAAGCCAUAUCUUGUCUUGUAUCCCUGGGCAGACAGUUUCCCACUUCACUUUUGGUACAUUUUAUUUGAGCUAGGGGGGGUCACCAAUGGGCACAGCAAGAAAAAGGGGAGGGCUAUCUAUGCUUUCGAGUACAGCCAGUAAGUGGUGGUGGCAGUGACUCAGAUUGGUUUCAAUUAGUUUCUUGACUUUGCUUUCUUUCAUUUGCAGGGCUCAUUUCAAUCUUGUCUUUUGGCAAUAACUACGAGGUUCUUAUACUUGUAGGACAAUACAUUGAUCCAUAAGUCAUUAUUGGUUUGAUUGACUAGGUGCACUGAAUACCUGAAAUUGGAUUGAGUAUACGAGUGAAUGAGUUCACGCUAUCUCGUUUGGUAAUCAUUUGCUUUUAGUUUUUUAGUUUUAAACUUAAGCUCAUAAUAAUUGUGUUCGCUCGUAAGUUUCUGUGUCACUAUCUGAUACUUUCUAUUUGAAAGAUAAAUUACUUGUCAAAAGUUUAACAUGAAGUUCCAUCUCAAAAUCUAUUGACAGUGAGAGGAGCAACCCGAUAUCUUAUAAAUAUUGUGAAGUCCAUCUCUAAAUUGGGAUCUUCAACAUACCUUUUGAAGAUACAUAUGUUGGUUCACCAGAUUUUAAUUUUUUCUUUUAAGCUGAAUGCUUGUUUUUGGUUCAAUGAACUUGGAUACUGUAUUAAAUAAGAUGAGUUUCAUCGUGAAACUAAUUGACAAUAUAAAAAGUAAGUUAACUAUAUGUUAUAUGUAUUGGAACGUUAAUUUUUUUUUAUGUGGGAUCUUAUAUCUUAAGAUGAUACAUUUUUGGGUUCACCAUUCUUGAAUCAAAUUCCAAAUUUUUUAUAAUGAAAAGAGUUGUUCAUCUAAGAUGUAAUAAUUUUGUUUGUGAACUCAACAUUUCUUGGACUUGAUCGAAGAGAUGAAUAUCUGGUUGAUUAAUGAAAGAGUUCAUAAGCAUCUUAACCAAAAAAAGUUACACAAAUUGAUAAUUUUGAGAGUUAAGAAACAAAUGUUCAUUCAUAUUUUUAACACAAAAAAAGAGGAAGUCUUGAGAAGUACUUCUGCUCCAUUUCCCUUCCCUUUUUACCCUCUUUUUCAAGAACUGUUUGACCCUCUUUGAGAGGAAUAAUAUUGACUAGCUGAAAGACAAAGAGGAUGUACGUUUGUUGUUGAGCGUUUAUACAUUUUUUCUUUUGACAUCAUUUAUACUUUCUUUUCAGUUCGAAACUCAUUCAAUUUUUAUCCUUUUACUAACUUUGUUUUUUCCGUGAGGUACGUAGAUUUGAACUUUUUUGACCAUUGGUGAAAUGUACAUUCAAAUAUCGUUAUAUGGUUAUGCUAUGCUUACCUUAUGGCUUACAAAUUUUAUGUUAUGAGUUUAGUAUAUUGGAAGAGUUCAAAUUACAUAAGAGCAAGUGUUAUACAUAGAGCUUAUGUGAGAGCAAUAAUGGUUUUGAAAAAUGGCUUACAUGUAUACUUAGUCCCAAAAUUUGUGAAUAACCAAAGAUGAACAUGAUCCAUUUACCAAUAAUUUGUGAGGGAAUUGGCCCAAGCCCAAUUGUAGCCUUAAGCAUGGAUAGAAAACAAUUGGAAAUUAGCUAAUUUUAGUUCUCUAGAAGUGAUUGCCCUUCAUCAAAUGUUUGGUGAGAGAAUUCAAACCUAAUAAGACUCUUCUAGUUUUGAUUUGAUUUAUAUGUAAAACAUUUCAAAAAAAUGGUGAAUGGUUCAUUCUUAACACAACAACGUUGAAGGUGGAGGCAUAUGCACAAUCACUUUUUUAUAUUUUAAUUUUAGUUUAACAAGUACAAGGGAAUGAAUAUUUGGUUAUACGAUAAUCACUUUUAAUUCUUAAACUUCUACGAGAAUAAUAUGUUACAUGAACUUUAGUUUUUACUUGUACUUUGAAACAUGAUACAAGAAACUUUGCAUGAGGGCUUUUACCGUUCUUCCACUUUGAUCCACUCUUCUAGUUCGAAGAUACGGUUGGAGAUGACAUGCUCAAGAGUACUUACAUUAUGUUGAGUGCACUUUGAUGUCCAAGUUAAUAUAUGAAAUAUUUAAGUCGAUUAAGCACAUAGAAAUUUAUUUAUCUCGUAAAAUGUUAUUGAUAUUAGGUUAUUCAUAAGACCAUUCCUCUAACUUCCUUUUAGAGAUAUGUGUAACAUCAAACUUAACUUUUCGCAUUUGUAGAUUAAUUAACUUCACGUUAAAAAGUCAUUGGUUCAAAUAAAUAGUCUUUUUCGUUAUAACCUUGCGAUAUGCAACUUAUGUGUAUGGUUUUCAUUUAAAUUCUACUUUAUAAAAUUUGCUUUGACAUGUUGACAUUUUUCACUUAUGUCUUUCUUUUAUUUUUUUUCAUCUUCAUCAACAUUUUAUCAUAUUUUUAAUGAUAUUUUUGUAUAUUUAUGUCUGCAACGUAGAAUUUAUUCCCUCACGUUAUUUUCGUUUAACAAAAGUCAAAUUCAAGAUGAAUAAUAAAGAUUAAUUGAUCAUAUCUUCUUUAUCUUCUGUUUUUCAGUGGAACAGUGAGUAGCAAACAUCAACUCGAAAUUAUUGGAUUAUUUUUUUUCAUUUCAUUGAUCAAAUGAAAUGACAGAGUCAGAGGUUUAAGAAAAAAAAAAAAAAAGAGACGAAAGUAAAAAAAAGAAAGAAAAGAAAAGUGAAGUAUGGUUUGGUCUGUGCAAUAUGAAAGUGGAAAAAGGGCUUCAUUGAAAGUUAUACUGUGCAUUUGUUAUCACCACAGACACUUGUCCUCAAAAAGUAAGCAAUCAUCAAUGUUUUUGUAUAUAUACAUUGCUUUAUUCUUAUCACUCUCCUUUUCGAGUAAUUUCUUCCAUUAUUACUACUCACCUAAAAUUAAAUGCACAAUUCUUUUUACCACUGGUGAAUUUUUUAAGAGUUUAAUGAUACUGCAUUGAUAGUUUAUGUUUAUAUACUAACGAGUUUCUUUUUUCAAUUUUUCUUAGUUUUUCAUUUUUAAAAUGUUUGAAAGAUAAAUUGAUAUUGAUAUAAACAAAAAAAAAAAAAAAAUUGAAAGUUUAAAGAUAUUGCUAAACAUGUUUGAAUAGUAACUAUUACCAUAUUGCUAAGCUAGACUUCAGAUUGAAUAUUUUCAUUAGCAUUUUGUUAUGUUUAUUGAAAUUAAAAUACUGAAAGAUAUUGUUUACAUUUUUUUGAAAAUUCAUCAUCUUUAUACACAUUUUUUGAGUACUUAUUCAUAGACAUUUAGCUCAUGUGCAUAAUGUAAAAUUAAAUACCAAUAUAUACGAUGAUUGCAGUCAAUAUUUGAAGAAAAUUAAUGAGUUGAUGGACCAAUUAUUUUUAUGAUUUUUUUUAAAAGAAAUAUUUAUGUGAUUUAAAGUUGCAUAUCAAAUGCACUAUGGUGUAUGAUGAUCUCUAGUUUUGGUCCAUAGGUAAUUAAUGUUAUUGUCAAUAUAUAGCUUACAAGAAAUCUAUUAAAGUAUUUUUGGUAUAUAAUUGCAAAAAAAAAAAAACCUUCCAAUUUAAAAUGAUAGAAGAAACAUCGUAAUUAGAAAAAGAACUUGAAUAAUGUACACCCAUGAAGCAACAUGACAAUGUAUCUUAAAAAACAAUUACUAAUUUUUAGUUGCUCGAAUUUCCUUUACCUAUAUAUUGUACUAAAAAAUUUAUUUAUUUGAACGAGUGUUUGUUAAAUGCAAUUAUAUAAAAUAUCUCUUUGAAAAUUGUCCAGAUAUAUCAAUUAUAGUCCUGCAUUUUAUAAUUUAUGGAGGUAAUUAAAUUAAAGUAUUAUUGCCCCUCCUAAAAUGUAGACUAACUUAGAUUUUAUAAGAAGAGUAUGAGCAUUAUAAAUGAUUUAAUUGAAUAGGGUUAGGGUUUGUUUGUUGGGUGGGUUUAAUAAGUACAAUGGGACACACAUUAGGGUUUGAUUGAUUAAGUUUGUUGAAAAAAAUGAAGAUAUGAGAAUUUAAACCAUGGCCCUCCAUGCUACCUCCAAAGAUAAAACUCAUGUUUUGGUACAUAGUACCAUUCUCUCUCUCUCUCUCUCUCUAUUUCUUUUAAAAAUUGCCUCCUUUUUCCCUACCAUCUAUAGUUCUCAUUUAGAUAAGAAUCUUCAUUUCACCCUUCAGUUUUUUCUAACUCUUCCCCACUUAAUCCCACUUCAUCAAUAAUGUUGCAUAAUUCAACCAACGUAAUGUUUGUUUUAAUUUGUACCGUCAACUUUAGGUAAUUCAAUUUUUUCUCCUAAAAGAAAAUCUCUAUCUUUAACUCAAUCGAUGUAGUGCUAGCUCGUACUUUCAACUUCAAAACUAGAGGUUCGAUCACCUUUCCGUAUGUUGUUAGAGGGGAGAGAGAGGGAGAGGGAGAGGGAGAGGGAGAGGGAGGAGAGAAAGAGAGAGAGAGAGCUGAGAGCCUCUUCUCUCUCGACACAAAAGCAGCAGUACAAAAGAUGGAAAAACAAAGAUGGCAGAACCUAACUACCAUACACGUUCACAUGUUGUUUCAAAAAGAGACCUCGUAGAGGCCAAAUUCAGGACACUCUUUUACCUUUUCCCCCCUCCCUUUUUUCCUUUCUCUUUCAUAUUCAACCUUGUUUUUGCCAUUUUUAAGCCCUUAACUUCUUCCUUCUAUUCCUUUUAAUUAUUUUUUUUUAAAAAAAAACAAUCAAGAAAUGAAGUAGAAAUACUUAUCAUCAUACAUGUUUUUUUGUUUAUAUUUUAUAAGAAUAAACACAUAAAUAUACCAUAGACAGUAAAACAGAAUCUUAGACCAAAUUAUAGCCCACUACAUCACUAGAUCUCUCUUGAAAAGAAAAAGUAAAGGUAGGCAACGUUUCGAGUCGUAUCGUUAUAGCUAGAUUCGUGUUCGCUACUACUUAAAAAGUCCUUGUUGACAAAUAGGUGUGUUUUUAAGAAACAUGUACACUUAGAAGUGACCCAUGCCAGCUUCUCAAUUGUAUAGAAUCCUUUCCAUCAUCCAACUUACCAUUCAACUUUUUUUUCUUUCUUUUUAAACAAUAAUAUAUACUUACGUGCGUGUUUAAAACUACACCUAUCUUUUUCGAGCAUCGCUCCAACUACACAACAUAAGUACUACAUUCUUUUUUUUUUUGAAGAAAAAAUGAAUUUAAACUAUAGUUAAACAAUUGAGUGAGUUGAAAAUAAAAAUGUAUGCAUCUAAAUAUUUAUCGUUUUAUAGAACUUGAAUUCAUUCCUAUUCCCUCUACCUCAAAAUUUCCAAUCUAACAUCACAAACCCAUAUAUUCCAAUAUCUUUGCUAAGCUAUCAGCUUGACUAUGGUCCCCCCUCUUUAGCAGUCCAAAAACCCCACAUGAUCUACAUAUCCAAAUGUACCAUUCACUUCAAAGCUUAUGCCUCUUCUCCCUUCUUCCAUUCAAACACAUUCAUGUAGAUUCCUUUCUUUCCUUUUCUUUUCUUUUUUUCUUGCCCCCCCUCCCCUCCCCUCUUCCUUUUUUCUCAGUCCCGACUUCGAAAACUAGUGGCUUUCAGUUGGCCACACUGUUCUCUACAAAUGACGCAGUUUGUCAAGUAAGUGGCCCCGUGUUAGGAAAUAACAUCCAUGUGUGCAGGAGCCAAUUCAUUAAUUUUCUUAAGAGCCCACAAACACAAACACAAACACUUUACCUUCUAAACAUUUAUAUUUUACUUACACAACUUUUUUUCUUUGUCACUAAAAGAGUUUGCAUUUAGAUAAAUUAAAACUUAGGUGUUGACCAGCAUGAUUAGCACAUAUUAUACCAAGUUUAUUAGGUUUUCAAUGUUCAAGAGAAAAAAACCCAGUGAGAUUAUUGAAAGAAGUAAGAAAGUUUGUGGACAAGUCAACUUUUGUUAUUAUUAUUGUUUUAUUUAAUUUUGGAGAGGGACAAUGAUAAUAAGUUUAUAUCAGGUCUUUGUGGGCUCAAAAGAUAUUGGAUGAAACCUCUCAAAUAUUAAAGAAAUAAAAGAGGGUUGGCCACAAUAAUUUAUUGUUCUAUCUGACCUAAGAGAGAGGAAAUUAAAUUGAAGACACCUACAAUCCUUAUUUUUUCAACUGUUCAACUUUCACUUUGAUUGGGCUACUUCGACAUGUACAUAGGUUCUUUUUUUUUUUUUUUUAAGACCCAAAAUUUUCUUUUUACAAUUCUUUUAAAUUAGAAUUUAAAACUAAUUAUUUAAUGAAUUUCCCUAUUUUGAUAUGGUGAAGUUUUCAAGUUUUUUUUAUUUGUGUUAGCUCAAUUGGAUAGUUCAAUAUAUUUGCUUCGGGUUAAAAAUGAAAAAAGAAAAAGUUUGAACAUUUUUUUUUUUUAAUUUUUAAGGUACUACUUUUUUUUGUUUAGGUAUAGUUAAAUAAAUUCAAUUACAUUUAGUUUGAGGGGAAAAAAUAGACCAAUGUGCUAAAUUAGAAUUCACUAGCCAUGUGAGGUUUUCGAUCCAAUUCGUACUACUAACAUUUUUCAACUAAUAAAAAACAAUCUACUUGCUUGAAUGUUGGUACGAUCCUUCUUUCUUGUAAUAUUUGGUUGAACUAAAAAAAAUAUAAUGUAGGUGAUGCUUUUAUUUUCUUUUUCAAUUUAAAGUACUUUUUUAUUUCUUCCUCAAUGUGAGAAAGAGAUGUAGAACAUGAAGGAAAUUAGAGGAAAGGAACCAAAAAAAAAAAAGAAAAAAG
rnacentral:lncRNA from 1 species